rnacentral:lncRNA from 1 species
GCGUAUGUCUCCCAUCACAACACCUUAAAUCAUCUUAAAUAAUCGCAUGUAGUUUAGCACAAUACUAAAUCAGUAAAUAAUUGUAGUUUUAUUCUUUGAUUGCAGAUUCUAUGAGGGAUCUGAGAUGGGAGUAGGAGCAGAAGGUGGAUGCAAGUGCGGAGACAAGUGCACCUGUGACCCUUGCAGCUGCAAAUGAAAAUCAAUGGAAUAACGGAUAGAGAUGUGUACUGAUCUCAGCUAAAAUAAUUUAUCUAUCUAUCUAUCUAUCUAUCUAUGUUUGUGUGGUGUCUCUAGCUUGAAGCUGUAAGGAUUCUCUUUGAGUGAAUGAAGCUUUAAGAAUAAAGUGGACAUGGCUUCAGCAGUACUUGUUGCUGUUUCCAUGGCUACUUGGUGUCUUUGUUUAACUAUUUCCUUGUAAUACCAGGAAAAAAAAAAUCAAUAUGAAGUAAGAUAUGCUGGUUUCUAUAUCUAUUACUACUUUGGAGUAUUUGCUGUGUUUUGUUUUCUGUGGUAAUUUGGAUAUUUGCGACAAUAAUUAUCUUUUCUGUGAAUUCAUACUUUCCGAGACCAGUAUUAAAGCUAGCAAACCAGAUUAACCCUUUUAACAUCAUAUCCAUGGGACUUCAAAUGAUUGUUCAAACAGACAUCCUAGUAUCCUACUGGUGUCCCUUCUAUUAGCUAAUGAUCUUGAACAUCACAUUUUCAUAUGUAAAUCACAUGAGCCCUGUACAAUGCAAGGUCGUAAAUUGCUAUUAACAACCCAACAUUUUCCCUAUUGACCAUCUUAACACCUAAAUUAUUGAUAGGUUUUUUAUUCAUUUUAUCAAUCCCUUACUGUGCAACUUCUUUGAAAGGCUCCUGAACUUGAACUACAUUUAUGAAAAAAUAAUUGAUGUCCAUGGCUUGAUCAGUGUGGUGGUGAAUAGCAAAAAACUUGGUUUUUAAUAACAAGAGUCCAGUGCAAUGUUGAAAAAGGAAAGGAAGAUCAUUGUCGUUCUCUCAUCUUUUAGUCUAAAGCAACUACACAGCAAGAGUAUGGAGACCUGGAGAGAGUUGAGGGACCAGUGGUACCACUUUAAAGAUAAAAACGAAAGUGUCGAAGGACUAGAUUUUGGUGGGGUUAAGCUUUCAUAUAUAUUUCAUUUCCUUUCUCUUGUAUAUCUAGUUAUCUGGAAAAUUAAUCAAACUAGCUUUAUUAGUUAUGGGCUUAUGGUCCUCAAUGCGUGCUACCUCUUUAGAGCAAUCCAAAUGGGAGGGAAGAAAAUUGCCCUUGUAAGGUAAACCACCCUCGAAAUCACCUUUUGUACAUGGUAGUCAAAACCCUCACCAAAGUUGAGCUAAUGGGAAAAUUUAGCAAUGUCAGAUUACAUGAUUAAAUGGGUUUAUAAGACGGAACUCUAUAUUCCAGUACUAUAUAUUAUUUUAAGACGUAACUCUGUAUUCCGAUUAUAAUCAUAAGACAGAAGGUUAUAUUCCGGUUUUGAAUUUUACAGAAAUCUAAAUUCUUUACUAAAAAUCUAACCCAUAUGUAUACUAUUAGACGAAACUUAGGUUUCGAUAAAAUUGAAGUUGGUAUGAGACGGAACUAAAAGUUCCAUCAAAUUUGGGUUUAUAAGACGAAACUUCAUUUUUCAAAUCAUAAAAAGUGAAUAAUUCGGAAUUGGUACUUCGGAAAAGUGCUUUAAACAGAAUAUUGUAUUCCGUCUUAUACUAUUACUAUGUCAUUUUAGAUGGCAUUUUCUUCCCCUCUAAAAUGACAUUGAAGUUUUUACUGCCCGUUGAAUAUUUGACCCACCUUCCAUUUUUUUUGCUAAGUUAUAUAUCAAUAAAAGGGAACUUGAGUACAAAAACUAAGGGUGGGAGGUAUUAAUCUACCUUUCACCAAUAACUAGAGCAUACAAGGAAACUAUUUUGGGCUAGAAUUAAGAGCACAAAGCUCUUCUUCACCUUGCUAGUGGGGACUUCGUACCGAUUUUUUACUUUUAGCAUAAAUUGCAUGAUCGCUUUCAACGCUGACAGUAUGGCUUUGAUUGGCAAAACUUCUUGCACAAUAAUGUCACCAUCAUAUAGUCCUUUUAGCCAAUGGCUGACUAUGGCUCUUCAUAUAGUCCUUUCUGCUUCAGAAAUCAAUUGUUCUUGGGCAGGAGUCUUUGACACCAAGUCUAGUUCUCCCUCUAGAGCUGUGAUAGAAUUGGGGGUCUCUAAAAUGGAAUGCCGACAUUUGUAGGACUUGUAUUCCUAGGGCUUCAUUCUCUUCGUGUAGCUGAAUUAUGGACAAGAGUUUUUGGAAAUGAAUCCAACUUACCUUCUAGUACAUUGAAAGAAUUGGUUAAGGUUAAAUGGUUCCUGGAGUUCUACCAUUUAUAGGACUAGCAUUCCGCUAUGUUCUCUGCUCUUGUGUUGCUGAAACAUUAAUUUGAAGAGUUCCAUUUUUGUUGUGGCUCAUUUGUAGAAAUUGUAUCUUCUCUUGUCAUAAACUGUUGGUUAGCUUGAUUGGUAGUAGAGUCUUUUGUACCACUUGUACUUGCUCCACUUUUGUUUACUUCUUCAAAGUUCUUCUGUUGUAUUAUCAAAGUUGCAACAACUUCUUCUCUUUGUGACCCAAUCUUGUUUUUUUUCACCCUCCAAGGCUACUGGUGUAGGUGUUCAUAAUAGAUGACGAAUCCCCCUUUGGCCUUUUCUUAUUUCUUUUUGCAACCCCUUACAUUCACCUUAUGAAUGACCAAUGGCUUGGCAGUGAUGAUAAAAUUUUGGCAACACUGGGUACACCACAUCUUGAAGGAAUUCCUUACCAUCAUCUACUUCCACCAAGAUUUGAUUUGGUAGAGGUUUGGAUAAAUCGUACCAAAUCAAUCAACACAUUGGCAUAGUAGCCAAAUUUCCGUUCCACGGUGAAUUUGUCGACCCAAUUGGGCAGCAACCUCCUUUGGGUAUGGGCAUAAUGUUGGUUUUUGAGGUUAUAUUUAAAAAUUCCUAAAUGGAGUGUGGCCUAGUGGUAGUGAGUUUGGACUCCCCACAUGAGGUGUGGGGUUCAAACCCAUGCCAAUGCAUAGAUAAUAUAUGAUCGGGCCUUAGGGCUCUUUUGGUCUCAGUUUUAGGGAUAAAAUCGGAAAUGUAACAUUGGCCUAGUUAAGAAACCACUUAUAAAAAGGCCCAACAAAAAUGUGACUCGAUCAAAUUUUUCUUUUUUGACGAAAAUACCAACAGAGCCCAUUUCAUGUCCAAAACCCUCUUUCUUUUCGGAAAAAAAAAAAAAAAAAAACUUCUCAAACCAACUGUGUUGACCCCCCUUAACGGGCUCAAGCCCAAGUCAAUUACACGUCAAAGCCCAAGACUUUAGUCAAUAAGGGCCUAAGCCCAAUUCAAUUAGUAAUAAGGCUUAGGCCCGUUACUACAUUCAAUAUCAAUCAUGGGCUUUAUCUAUUUAAGUCCAUUAUAUUCAAUAAGGUUAAUAUGGUAAUUCUACAUCUUUGUAGAGAUUUUCUUAACCUAAUCGAAGUACAACUCAAUAUCUCUACAACUCCUAAUCCAAUAACAAUUUCAAUAUCUUUACAACUCAUGUUCCUAAUAGGACAUGAAGUACAUUAUCUUGUCAUUAUAUGGUCCAAAUACAUGGGACUACAAUACUACAAUACAUUAGGGAUCAUGGGAUCACAUCCUAAUCCCAAUCAAACCCUACAUUUGAACUACGUUAUAAAAGGCUUGAUUCCAUCUCUCUUAUGGAUACGUAGGCAACUAAGAAACAACUUAGUGCAGCCAUUAUCAAUCACUAAAACCCUAUUCCUUCAUCUCCAUCUUCUCUAAUACCUUAAAUCUUAACAUUAGGGGUUUCUUCUUGAUCUUACAUCACAUCGGUGUGAAAUCCGGUUGAAACACUAACUCUUUGCGAAAACAAUUUUUUCACUUUCUCGAUCGAAAUCACCAUUACAAAUCUUUAAAGAAGAAAAACGUCGUGAAUCACUUUGUAGAGAUGAAGUUCGUAUUAAGUAAGUAAUUUAAUUCAACAUUAAUCAAACUAUUUGAUUAAUUUCAUUUUCUAGGGUUUUUUUUUUUUUUUUCGAUUUUUGAAAACGACGGUAUGAAUUCUUUGCUAUGGUUGGAUUAUGAUGAUAUUUUGAAGUGAUUGUGAUUGUAUCUUUUCUACAAAUAGUUCUUUGCCUUCAACUAUUUGAUAAAAAAAGCAUUGUAAUUCAUUAUGCAUUGAGAUAUUUUAAAGCUGUGUAUGUAUUUUGGUUGUUUGAGACUUGUGCAGAAUCCUAUUUGCAAUUGUGGUAGAGAGCUUUUGGUAUUCGUAAUUCGUUUUACAUUGAACUAUUUGCAAGUUGAGUUUUUUUUAUUGCAGUGCAAAAAACUCAUUGGAAAAUUAGAAAAUUUGUGUUAGUUUUUUGUCUUUGAAUGGGCAUGAUCUUUUUUUGUUAAUCAUAGUUUAUUUUCAUCAAAGGUGUAUAGAAAAAAUAUACUUUUAUUGCAUUUCAUAAGAAAGAAGGGAAAGAAAAAGUUAAUGAAGAAGCUUAAAGUUGUAUUCAUGUGGUGUUAUUGUUCCCACAUAUGGUAGUUGCUAAGUGCCAAUGUGUUUAGGUCAUUAUGUAGGUUAUGUUAUUGGUAAAAAAAAGCUUGUAUUCACUAAGCAUUUUCGAAGUAGUUUUUGAUCUCCAAUUGGAAAAUAUGAGAGUGAGAGAUUGAAACUGAAGUGUCUGGCAAUUUUGAAAUCUUGGAUGUAUAAUGAGAUUUCUAAACAUAAUUUAGUAUUAUCAACCAAAGAGAACUGGCGUAGCUAAAACUUGACAGUUAAGCCAUGCACAUCAUGUCCUCACCCGUUACCACUAAUUACUAAUUAAAAAACAUUGUUGAAUUCAUGUAAGUGAUGAGCUGUUUUGUUUGAGUCCAUUGUAAAGAACUCGUUGCAUAUAUGACAACAAGUUCUUUGCAUUAAAUGCUUGUAUUUAAUUUAACAGAAAGAAGUUUUGAUUUUUUUUUCGUGUUAUUGUAGGAAAAGAAUGUCAGAUUCAAGUGAAGAUGAUAGUUGGGCAAAAACAUAAUUUAGUAUUAUCAACCAAUUAGAAUUGGAGUAGCUAAAACUUGACAGUUAAGCCAUGCACAUCAUGUCCUCACCCGACAACACUAUCUAAGUAAAAAACAUUGUUGAAUUCAUGUAAGUAAUGAACUGUUUUGUUUGAGUCCAUUGUUAAGAACCCUUUGCAAAUAUGGCAGCAAGUUUUUUUUGCAUUAAAUACUUAUAUUUAAUUUAGCAGAAAGAAGUUUUGAAUUAUUUUUUUCGUGUUAUUGCAGGAAAAGAAUGUCAGAUUCAAGUAAAGAUGACAGUUUUACUAGAAACACAAGUGGAGGAAGGUAGUUUGACUAGUUUAGUGGAUAAAACUACAAGCAAUAUUCUUAAAUCGUGAAGAACAUUUUCAGGAAGAGGAAAAAAGUGAUAACUCAUCUGAAGAUGUUGAAUCAUAUAAAGUAAAUAGAAAUGGGAGUAUAGAAGAAGAAAAUGUAGAGUUAGACGAAGAAAGAGAAAGUGAUAAAGAGAUUGAAAUGGAGCAAGAUACUAGGAAACAAAAGAAUCCCCAAUUUGAUACCAAGAUACACCCUUCUCCAAGGUUGAAACAAGCCAAGAUAGUUACAAAGGAUAAUGGAAAUAGAAUACUUUCAAAGGCAACAACAAAAGGUCAAAAGGAUAAAAAUACAAUAAAGACAAAGAAUGACAAGGUAACAGUUAUUAUGUUAUGUUGGAGCUCUUUGCAUUUUUUUUUCUUUCACUUGCUGGUGUAUGAUGCAUUGGAUGCAUGUUGCUUUUGGUUUUUUUUAUAAGCAUAAUAACAUUAUCAAUAAAUAAUAAGGAUCAUGAAUCACGUAAUUAAUCACUAACAAAUACACAUACCUUUGUCUAUAGCCAUUGAUGAUCCAAGAAGCUGCACAAGAUCUAGGUUUCACUCUUCUUGCCUUUUAAACCCUAAUAUGUAUUGUAAUAGUAAGUAUAUGAGGAUGGAGAUCAUACACCAAUUUAUAGAGGUGGAGAGAGGACCUAAAUCUACAAACCUAACCCCAUUAGAUCUAGACCGUCCAUCAUAGAUAAAAUCUACAGUAGAUAUGACUUCCAGAUAACCUAUAUUACUAAUUAGCUUAUUUCUAUAUUAAACCAAGGUUAAAGGUACAUGGACCACAUUAUGGGUUGGGCUUUAUAUGUGGAAAUUCCAACAGUCUCCGACUUGGUCCAUAGUAAAAUCUCACAUACGGUUUAAUGUAGAAUACCUAAGGCGCGCAAUAAGAGCUAGAUUAGUUUCCGAAAUGGUUAUCAUAAUACCGUCAUUAAUUAAACCAUUAAUAUGAGUCAUGGCGGUUCCACAUCUCAUAAAUGACAUUGUUCCUUCCAUGUACUAUGACAUCAACAAUUUAAUUAACUAGGUCUAUAAGCGGAAGUAACAAUAAUGGUCCAGUAAUGUCUUCGUAAAAGACAAUUUCUGUCAAUUAUCCAUUCACAUACAUGUACAUAAACAAUGGAAAACAGAAAAUUCAGAACUUAAUCAAUAAUAUGAGCUCAAAAUAAUGUCAAAUAAUAAGCACUAAGUAAUCCACAAAAUCAUUAAGUUAUGGGUUACAUUCAAAACCCAACUUGUUAAUCAUGAUGCUAGAAUAUCAUUAUUUCUAACUCUUAAGUUAGUGGAUUUACUAACACGUGUACUAAUGUGUUCCAUUGACACUCACUUGUUCUAAACUGAAGUCAUAAUCAAUAGGUAUUUUAUAUCAUGUGCUAAACAUUAGAAUACCUAUCAUUCUUCCAAAGGCAUAUAGUUGCAACAUUAUUACAAUAAAAUUCAAACUACUUAGAAAUCAAUAACUCUAAGUUAUGAUAUAAAGUUUUGCAACUAUACAACAUUGCAUGUAGUUUUACAACAUGCUACAAAUUCGGCUUCUAUGGUGGGUGAAACAAUAAUGUUUUACCGACUAUCCACACACCCAUUAAAUUCCGAAUUUGUAAAACCAAUCACCACAAGGUGAUUAGAUCUCUUAAAAUAUGAGCAUAAAGUUUCUCUUUCAUUCGUUCUUGUUCCAAUUCAUUAGUAGGAUCUUGAUUUAAUUCAAAUAUUCCCCCUCUGAAUUGGAACAUCAUUACAAUUAUGCCUUAACACAUUAAAUCUAUCCAAAACUUUAUUAAUGAAAUCUUUCUGAGACGUUCCAACAAUUAUUGUGAUCAAUCCCGAAAUAUUUGUAUUUCUAUCACAUAUGACGCAUCACCAUAACUUUCAUUGCAAAGUUUUUAGACACAUAAAAAAUGUUUACAUAAACGAAAAUCACUGCUGCGAAACAAUAAAUCAUCAACAUACAUAUCCAAAAUAAUAAACUUACUCCCACUGAACUUUGGGUAUCUACAUUAAACCCAAAGGUAUGAUACUAUUAAUCAUUAGGUACCAUUUUUGAGAAGCUUGUUUUAAGUCUGUAUAUUGACUUCUUUAACAAACAAACCAUGUGUUCUUGUCCUUCUUUUAUGAAGUUGUGUAGUUAAUUAAACCACGUAGACUUCAUCCAAACUUUCAUUUAAAAUACCAUUUUCACAUCUAUUUGGUGUAACUCUAAAUCGAAAUGUGCCACCAAUGCCAUAAUAAUUCUAAGAUAAUAUUUCUUUAACACAUGAGUAAAGGUUUCACGAGAAAGUAAUGCUACCAUGCCAUAUUGAGUAAAAUAUUUGGAUACAAGUAUCGUUUUAUGGAAUUCAAUAGAACAUUUUGAGUCAAUUCUACUAAUCCAGACUUAGUUAAAAUCCACACUUAAUUUAUCUCUUCAUUCAUGGCAUGAAUUUUUUUAUCAGAAUUACUAUAAGUAAUGGCUUGUGAAAAUGUAACUGGAUCAUUAAGAUCAAAUUCUUGUAAAUACAACACGUUGUCAUCCGAAAUAGCUAGUCGUGAUCUUUAAGAUCUUUUUAAUGCUACUUCUUGUGUGUGUUUACAUUCAGUUCAAUGGCAUUAAUUUCAUUAAGUGGUUGAGGAUCAACUUGUUGUUUACUGUUGUUAAGCGGUGCAACAACAUGAGGGUCAAGAGAAGUAACAAUAAUAUCAUUACAAAAUCGAGGUAACAAAAUUGGUACCCUAAUUUCUUUAAUGAUUACCUCUUUGAUAUGAUCACUCCCACUUAUUUUGUCAUUCAUAACGAAUCAAUAAUUUCCAGUUUCAAUAAUUCUAGUGGCCGGUAUGGUUAGGAUAGUAAAAUCUAUACCCUUUGGACUUUUCUGGAUAAACCCUAAAUGUGUAAAUGUCUUAAACUAGGUUUCCAUCUUUUCCACAAUUCAAAAAGUGUUUUUGUAACUGCCUUAAUAGAACCAAAUUCAAUAUAUACACUACGAUUCAUAAAGCAUACAUCCACAACUAUAUGUAUAAUUUAAAACUACACAUCAUACUUCGAACCAUAUUCAUAAGGGUUUGAUUAUGCCUUUGAGUUACACCAUUCUGUCAUGGAGAACCAGGCGUUGUGUAUUAGGCAUAAAUUCCUAACCAUUCUAGAAGUUUGGUAAAAGGACCGAGAUGAUGUCUCGUGUCAUCAUACCUUCCAAGAAUUUCACCACCUCUAUCAGAACAUAUAAUUUUCACCUUUCUAUCUAAUUGUCUCUUAACUUCAAUUAUGUAAAUUUGAACAACAUUUACAUAUGAGGCUUAUCAUACAACAUAUAGAUAUAACAAUAACGAGAAAAAUCAUCAAUAAAGGUAAUGAAAUACUUUUCUCCACCAAAAGAUGGAACAUAAAAAGUCCACAUAUGUCUGUUUGAAAUAUUUCAAGAAGCUUAUUUGUACUUCUUAUGGCUCUUCUUUAUGUGUUUGGUUUGCUUAACUUAAUGCAAUCCACAUACACCAAAAUUAGUAAAGUCGAGGUCCAGGAAAACCCCUUCUUUUACUAGUCUACUUUUCAUCUAGAUGUAUGAUCCAGUUUUUUAUGCCACAAGAACGAUAAAUAUUAAUCAUAAUCAAUUCACUAAGUAUUAGAAAUGCCAAUUGAGUUUGAUCGAAAGAUACUAAAACCGAAAGCUUAUCUUUUAUAUCAAACAAACGCCAUAUUCACAUAAAUGGCAUUGGCACACACAUAGUGUAUAUCCAAACACAAUUAGAGAAUUAUUCAUUCAACUCCUUGAAACAUGAAUUAAACUUGAGUGACCUGAUUAUAAAGUUGUUUAAGCCUUGCCUAUACUUGAACUAGUAGUCUUGCCAUUUAAUUCAGAUUCCACUUGUCUUUAAUAAUGUAAUAGUGAAACUGAACAUACUAUGUAGACAAGGAAUUUAGGACAAAUUGGAGGACAAAGUAAUCAUCCACUAACAUGCCUAAAUUCUUUAAUUUAACAACUAAAUUAGGAAACUCAAGGACACGGUCAUACAUACUAUGAGUACUAUCAAUAGUAAUCAGUCCAACAAUUAACUUUUCAGCUAGCAGUGCAAAAAUGAUUCUUAAUAUUAUUCAUCAAUAAUUAUUCACAUAAACAUUGAGUUUAAUUUGCUUGUUCAAUCUAGUUCAUUCAUAAUGCAUAAUUUUCUCCUUUUUACUGCUUUUAUAAAAGAAACUAGCAGUAGAUUCAACAAUAAAGAAACAUAUGCCAAGAUCUAGAACUCCCACUAAAAUUAACUAGACUUAUUCAUUCUAGUUCAUUACAUUAGUCUGAUUAAGGAUAAAAACAUACAAAAUAUAUGAAAUAUAAGAAUAAUAGAACGAGAAGAUAAACAUGCUCACAACAUUAGUCAACACAUUAAUUAAACAAAUAUGACUAGGAUUUUUAGUAAUACUAUAAAUGGGUGACAUAUCACAUGAUCAAAAUUAGCAUGGUAUCUGUGGAUAUCCUACACUCAUUUAAUCACAAAUACGUGCAACCCCUUAAUUUUAUCCAUUGUAACAUAUGCUUGAUCUACCUGUGGGUAGCUCAAUAAUGCAAGUGAAUAAAUAGGCAAUAAGGUACUUAGUCUAACAUUCAACAUAAUAUUUAGUUCACUGUGGUGAAAACCAAAUCAUAAUAUGAAUGUUCAAGAAAGUUUUAAUAUUCAUUAAAUAUAUUGGAAUCACUGCGGUGGAUACCAAUAGAAAACUUAAUAUGAAUAUAAAACGGAAAAUAAUGUCCAUAAUCGUAAUUGGUUCACUGUGGUGAUACCAAAUCAUGAUGAUAUGAACCUUAAGGGAAUAAACAUUCAGCUGAAUUAAUGCUACAAGAUCAAAAUAUCAUAAUGCAUUAUAAUUAUAAAAUAAUCUAAUAGUUGCAGGACACAUGAAUAAUAUGGGUCUAAAAAUUAAAGAAUUAUCAUUAACCUACUAUACAUAUGUGAUUAAUAUAUGACAGAGGCAUGAAAGUAAAAUAGAUCAUAAUAUAAACUAGCACAAAAAUGUCUAACUGUAAGACCCAAAACACCUUUAAUUAUGGAGUGCAACUCUUAGGCCCAAAUUAAUAUUAUCCCUUUAUCUUUAUGGAAAUCUUACAUAAACAGUAAUUAACAUACCAAACUACCAAAACACUAAUGGACAAAACGUUAAGUCCAAAACAAUAAUUGGUACAGUUUUACUUUUUGGUAUAUUCAUAAAAGUCAAUAUUUAUGAACAUACUUGGCUUCACUGUGGUGAGUACCAAUAUCAAACCUUAACACGAAUAUUGAACUAGAAAAACCAAUUUUCAUAACACUUUAGUUGGAAUCACUGUGGUGAGUACCAACACGUUUCUUGUUAUGAAAUCUAUAAUUACAGUUUUACACAGAUUACACGACACAUUAGUGCGACUAUAAUAUCCAGCUGUUCAGCCACUAUAAUUAUACACGGUGACAGAAACCACAAUAUGUAUACAGUGAGAUUUAUGUGAACAAUUGUACAUAAUAGCAUAAAUUAGAAGUGGCUAAUAUCAUCAUCUUUAUAUCAUGGGGUUAUGGAUUUGUUUGUUUAUGAGUAACAUGUAGGCCGGAUAAGUUAUAAGAAAAGCAUAUUAAUCAAUGUUCCCAAAGCAUAUUUAUAUUGGGUUGAAUAAUAAGACCCACAUGAUGUUGUCAUUAUACUAGACUUAAGGAGUCAGGACUUCGUACAAACCCAAACCAUAGAGAAAAUAGUCAGGUUACGAUAACGACAUAUUGUUCAUGUCACUGUAAUCACAAUAUUACUCAUACAGUAUGCACCUAAUUAUGGGUUGUUACAUUAAGGCCCAAAUGUUAAACAAAUUAUGAUCGAAAAACUAAGCAGUAUUUUAAACAUUACUAAAGGAAGGCAGAAACUGUGAUGGGUUAGUAAAAUAAGAUAAGCAUUAAAGCCCACAUUCAUAACAACUAAUUAUCUAUCAAACUGAACACAUACAUAAUAUAUACUGGGCUAAGCAAUUCACAUGAAUUCUUAAAGCAUAAACUGUAAUGUGUAGGCAGAUAAUGAUACCAUCUAUACAAGGGUAAUAUCCAAAGCAAUCAUACAUAAUACCUAAACACUUAGGCCCACAUGUUGAUGUAAUACACGAAAGUCGUAAUAACCAAAAAAAUCCGUAAAAGACAAAAGCAUGACAGAAACAAAUAUUAAACCAAAAUAUUGUGAUCUGAUCUUACAAAAUUAAGUUAACGAUAACAAGCAUGCAUGUGAAUAUGGUCAAUGCGUCCCUUCUUUAACUAUUGUAAUGAUGCAUUGUAAUCAUGUAUGUGAAUAUGUUAUACAUCAAAUAAUCAUACAUCAUGCAGGCAUAUUAAGAUACAAUUAAUAUGGGCAUACAAUUAAUACUCAUAACUUAUUACUUUUUGUCCCAUCAACAAAACAUGGAAAAGCAUAGACAUACCAUUACCACUUACUGCCAACAAGUUACAACAUUCAAGACACAAACAUGUUUCAAAAUACAACUAAUGUGUUCAAUUGACAAAUAGGUUGUGUAGGAAAAGAUCGUGUAGAUCGUGUAGGAAUAUGAUUGAACUAUAAAUAAAAACAAAAAAAUGUUUCUUGAUGCAGAACUAUAAUACAGAAUUUGAUUUUGCAGUAAUUGUAGAACUAAAAACAUGAUUCAUAUUGGCGACUGAUACCACAUAUAAGCAUAAUAACAUUAUCAAUAAAUAAUAAGGAUUAUGAAUCACGUAAUUAAUCACUAACAAGUAACAAAUACACAUACCUUUGUCUAUAGCCAUUGAUGAUCUAAGAAGCUGCACAAGAUCUAGGUUUCACUCUCCUUGUUUUUUAAACCCUAAUAUGUGUUGUAAUAGUAAGUAUAUGAGGAUGGAGAUCAUACACCAAUUUAUACAGGUGGAGAGAGGACCUAAAUCUACAAACCUAAGCCCAUUAGAUCUAGACCGUCCAUCAUAGUUAAGAUCUACAGUAGAUAUGACUUCUACAUAACCUAUUACUAAUUAGCUUAUUUUUAUAUUAAACCAAGGUCAAAGGUACAUGGACCACAUUAUGGGUUGGGCUUUAUAUGUGGAAAUUCCAACAUUUUUCAGCUUGUUAGUGUUAGGCAAGAAAUAGUAGUAGGCUACUGUUCAUGAACAAAAGUAAGUAAACAGAAUAUGCAAACCAGAAAAUGUAUGUAAAAGACAAUAUGAAUUGAUUGAGUCAAUAAAUAUCUCUAUUUUUAAGACAUUAUUUGCCCAACAGGUGUUGUAUGGGUUCAAUAAAAAUUGUCUCCCAGGAUACAACAAUCAGUACCUUCGUUAUGUAGCACCAACUUAAACAAAACGAAAACGGUGAACCAGUUCAGUGAUGUAACUCUCUCAACGUCAUACAGACACAAUGAGAUUAAAAUGAAUAUGAGUUUUGAAUGAAUGAAUUAUGCAGACACAAACUAUCUGUUUGUAGCUAAGAAAUAUUCAGGGAAAAGACACUUUGGGUCGAACUUAGUCAAUGAAUGGACACACCCAUUGGGUCGAAUAGACACUUUGUGCAUAAAACAAUUUCAUGAAAGGACACACCUAUUAGGCUCAAAACAGUUUCAUAAAGAGACACACACUGGUUGUUCACACCUAUUGGGCCGAACCAGUAUCAAACCGGUUAGGUAUGGGUAUUUACCAAUUGGAAGAUAAGUUCAAUGAACCUUUCAAUAAAAAGAUUAUGUUCGAUCGCAAAUAACCCAAACCCAAUCCCAACUUGGGUCUAACGGACGACUUUGGGCCCAAAACAGUUUCAUGAAUGGACACACCUAUUGGGUCCGAAACAGUUCCACAAAUAGACACACACUGGUUGGUCACACCUAUUGGGCCGAACCAGUAUAAAACCGGAUGGGUAUGGAUAUGCACCUAUUGGGACAUAACUUCAAUGAACCUUUUAAUAAAGAAAAUUAUGUUGGAUCACAAAGAAACCAAGCCCAAGCCGGUUCAGACGGAUUACGCGUGCGCGUGUAUUUUUCAAGCCUAAGCCCAUGUAAGGUUCCGCCCAACGCACAAAAAUAUUGCAACCCCAAAGGUCACUCCCUUAUUGUACAAGUGUAGUAUAUUAAGAGCAAACCUUAUCUACAUGGAUCAAAUGUGGGACUAUCACAUUUGUCUUACUUUGUGUCAAGUUAUACCACUUACAUAGGUAACGUGGGACGCCAAUUUCUCAUUCAAUAUGAAACCGUUUUGGACGUAUGGAUUUUUUACGAGCAUUUACUCGGAACGAGGAAUCCAUAUAUUCCAAGAUUUUGCUCAUUGGAGCAAUGGAACAUAUAUAAAACUUGUAACAAAUAUUUUGUGAGAAAUCUGUCAAUUUUUGAUAGAUUUUACAAAACAGUUUUCAAUUUCCAACAGUUAGUACACAAUGUAAGGUCUUGCAUUAAUUCGAAUUAAUUAAUAAAAUAGGCAAUGUACUUUGAAAAGUUAACCAAUUUAGGCAACCAACUUUAAAUCCUUCCAAUUUAGGCAACAUACUUUCAAUUUGUUCUCAAUUUUGGCAUCCCUACUUUUUUCGUUAAAUGUUUAUAACUGCACCGUUAACCCAGGCUGACGUGGAUAUUUUUGUCCACGUGGCAUGGGGGACCUUUGACGUGGCCAAUUUUAUUUGAAAUUAUUUUUUUAAAAAUAAUGAAUACAUUUUACCAUGUCAGCAAGGUCCCACAUGCCACGUGGACAAAAAAGAAUCCACAUCAGCAUAGUUAACGGUGCAGUUAAGAAAAUUUGAAGGAAAAAGUUGGGAUACCAAAAUUGAGAAUCCAUAUUCUUCUUCUUUUAAACUAUUGUUCGUGAUGCAGGUGUCAGUUGGGUUCAACUGGUAAAACCUUUGGAUGAUGAUACCAGAGGUCUGGGGUUCAAAUCCUUCCAGUAUUACCGAGUUACUGAUCUCAUUAAAAACAGGCUUACCACAACAUUUUUGCAAAUGAGCCUAUGGCUCAAUGGUAGCCCCCAUCUCACAAAGUGGAGAGGUUGUGGGUUCGAAACACAUCAAAAACUGAUUGUUGAUAUAAGUUUCCACACAUAAUUUAAAAGGGGUAGGGGUCCCCUCAACCCCCCUUGCAAUUAAAAAAAGAAGUAUCAGAAGCACCAGAAAAUAUUGAACUUCUAAGGAGGAUACAAAAAGUAAUGAAUAGCAAUAUGAUGACGGCGGGUUCCAAUGAAUAUGUAUUUCUUAGAAUUGGUUUUGCUAUUCAAGAAGGGCUUGCAGCGCAGUUUGUAGCGCGUUUGUCCUCUACUUUUGUGUAAUUCUUCAAAUUUUUAUUAAUAAAAUUUGUUAUUGAUUUAAGAAAAAAAAAACAAACCAUCGUUCGUCGUCAAUUGGUAUCAAGAGCUCCCCUUUCUAGAUCUCCAUCUUAAAAGCGAUCCACCAAAUUCUGCAAAACCCUUAUAUUUUUUUCCUCCACCUCCCCGCCACCACCAAUCCAAAAAAAAAAAAAAAAACCAUCAAAAACCAAAAACAUUCAGCAGAAUUGUCAUAUUUGAAGAGCAACCGAGAUCACCAUACUUGGAACCACAAAAUGUGGAUUGCGAUUUUGAGUUGUGAGCAAAGAGUUAUUGCAGUUUUGGUACAAGGUGUCAGUUUUUACAUAUUCCAUAUUCAACAACAAUGGCGCUAACGGAAGAAACCAAAACAUAUUUUUAUGAUUUGCUACAAGACUUUGCCGCCAAACUUGAAACCAAAAUCGAUAUUCUUUCGAAGAAAUUUGACGGUCAUGAAAUUUUUGUAGACAAGAAGAUCGAAUAUUUACAAACUUCAAUGAAGAAAAGAAUUGAUGGUCAUAUAUCGACGGAUAACAAGAUUGAAUCUUCAACUUUGACAGCAAAAGAGAUUGAUGAUUUGAAGACUUCAACAAAGGAGAUGAUAACACACUUAUAGUUGAUCUACCUAUUAUUCUUCAAUCUUCGGAACCUACUUCUCCCAUUCUUUAUCACAAAUCCAAAGCCAUUACCAUCGUUACUAACCAUUACUAUCACCCUCUUUCAAAUCCUUUUACGAUGUCUAGCUUAUAACCAAACCAUCACAUAUGGUUGAUCAUGUAUUAUUAAAAGAAAAAUUCUCAAUGGUUUUGAUAGUGUAUCGAUAUGGUCAAAAAGUCGUAAGCUUCAACGAUAGUCCAAAUAUCUUUUUCGAUGGAAAGGAAAUUCACAAUUCAAGCAAUCCAAGAUGACUUCUCGACUCUCGGGCAAUGAUAUUAUUACGCUUCUUCAGAUAUUCAAUUCGAGAAUGAUGUAGGACAAGAAGUAUAUUUAAUUAUUUUAUUAUCAUAUUAUUAUUUAGAAUUUAUUUAGAUUGUUCUAGAAAUUUUGUUUAAUUAGGUUUUGUAGUUUUAUGUUUUUAGAAGUCCAAUAGAUUUAAAAAAUAGUUUACUUGUUGCUUAAGUUCAAGUCUCUAUAUAAAGGGACCAUUAUUAUUAAUUAUAAUAUAAAAAACCAAUAUUCAGUAUAAAUUUUCCAAUCAGUUUAUUGUAUCUCUUAAUUAUAUUCUUCCAAAUUCCUUCUUUAAUAUUUCCUCCCUUUUUUUUUUCUAAAUCUCCCUUUGAGAAUCUGAAUUCUCCUUCUUCUAAACUAUCGUUUGCCGUCAGUGAAUAAUGAUAUGUUUUCACAUACAGAUGUAUACAUACCACUUUAAGAAAAUCACAAGCAUAUAAAAUAAAUCGCAUGGAGUAUGGACGAGAUUGCGGCCGAAUUGGAUGCAUUAAUUUCGUGAUUUUUGUAGUUCUUAAAUGCAUAAAAAUCAUUGCAUUGCCUGAAUUAAAUUCAUUAUUAUUAACUUGAGCUUUUUCCACAGAUUAAGGUAGCUCACGGCGUGAAUCUCCCAAGAUAAAUAAGCAAAGAAAAUGCAGAUAGUCAUGAAAGGAAAACGGAAAAAAAAAAAAAAAAAAAAGGAUGAUGAGAGAAAGGUCGAAGGACUUCAAAAAAAGCAAAAAAUAAAGCAAAAAACGCAAGAUGAGGUAACUUUACAGAAACUCUACUUCCAAAUUUCAGCAUUGUUAAAAUUAGACAAUAUAACCAAGAAAUACUUUAUUUUGACAAUAAUAUUCAGUAAGCUAGAUUCCCUGUGUUUGUUUGACACUGCUUAUGUUGUUUGUCAAUAGUUGUAGUUAGUAUUGAAAUGUUAAAUAUCAUACUUUCUCUUGUAGGGUGAAAAAAAAAACAAUCAAGUACUUUUAGGAGCUACAUCAAGUCUGUAGUUUCUUUCGUACAAGACAUGAAGCAGAGAAUUCCAACCACGCACAAGGAUGCGAUGAUGAAGACGCCUUUUGGGAGAGUGUUCAAUCUCUUCGUUGAAAAUGGAGUAAGAGAUGAGACCAUUAGUGGGCAGAACAAGGACGUUCUCUAAAAAAUAAUAAGUAAAUAUUCACAUGAAGAGGACGCAUUCAAAAUCGGGCAAGGAGAAAACACAAAAUAUAUGAAGUUCAAACCGAAACAUGUGUCCCUAGCCUUUUAUUUUCCCCUAGAUGGGAAGAGAGUGUCUGAUGUAUUUAGAAGGUUCAAGUACAAUCCAUAGUCAUCAUCCUUUCUCAAGUGCUUAGACCUUGCAAAGAACACUGUCAUAAAAAAAAAGAUGAAAUGGUGGAUAAACUCAAUCUCUUGUUGACAAAAAAUGAUCAAUAUGAUCUUUUCUAUAGGAUGGUAGCUGUUUUUCUGGCAAUGACACUAUUUUUUCACAAACUUGAACACCAAGAUUGGUUUAUCUUUUCUCUCAAACAUUGAGAGUCUUCAGACCAUGAAUUCCAUCAGUUGGACACAUGUGAUUUAUGACAAGCUAAUGGAAAAUAUCAAGGAACAUACCAACAAGCCGUUGUCUGUCAACGCGGCAUGCGUCAUUCCUAUCUUGGUAUGGUUAUGUGAGAUCACUGGGAUCUUAGAACCAAGAAAGGGCUACAUUGUUAGCACUCCAAGGAUUGGAAGAUGGAAUUUCACCAAGCUUUCACAAAAACGGAAAAAUGAUUUCCUAGAAUAUAUCACAAAGGACAUGGUAUUGAAAAAAACAUGUUUUUUAUUUUAUUUUCAUCUCUAUCUGUUUGCAAACACCUCCUCCAUGUACAAUAUGCAAAUACUUCUCUGCAUUGUCCAAAUACUGUACUAUUUCUCCAGUAUUCGUUAUCGUAGGUUAUAAAUAGUUCAAUAUUGUUACAAUAUACUGGUUUAGAGCUUAGAACAGGAACAACAAGUCAAUGUAAGCCUCGUUUUGUGCCAUACAUGUACAAUUGCUGAGUUUGUAGCUUAAUCUUAAGAAUUAAAGAAAUGAAGCUAUAGGAUAAUAGUCUAGAAUCUAGAAUAUGUUUCUCGACGGUCACUAGGAAAAGAAUGGCGAGAGAGAAAAUGAGUGGCGGUGGGAAUAUGGUAGAAAACGAAUAGGACAAAAACCAAAACCUAUUUUUAUUUUAUUUUUAUCCCUAUCUGUUUGCAAACACCUCUCUGUACAAUAUGUAAACGCAUAUCUGUACAAUAUGCAAACACUUAUCCACAUAGUUAGAAUUGAGAAAAACUAAUAAUUUUUAUUCUCGUUUAUGUUCUUUUAAUUAGAUUAAGGAAGAUUACCAAGAUAUAAUAGAGGCAGAGAAACAACUCUUUGAAAAAAAUAGCCAUCGAAGAGGAAAUUAAGGCAAAGGACUAUGAUCAACUUCACAAAGAUUACGAGGAGUUAACUAUCCAUAUGCUACAAAAUGAAAUUAAUGAGCUCAAAAAGGAAAGAAUACUGAAUAAGGUUGAAGAUGAUGUUGUGGACAACAAUAGAAGCAAGGUUUAUGAUGGCAGGAAUGACGGUGAUAACACAGCUGAUGACAAAGAUGUAGCUGGGGUUGAAAUUGAAAAGCAAACUGACGACAAAGAUACAACUGGGGUUGAAAUUGAAAAGAAAGCAGAGGGUAAAGGUGCAGUUGAGCUUGAAAGUCAAAAGGAAGUUGAGGACAAAGAUGGAACUGGCGGUCAAAAUGAAAAACAAGAUAGGAUAAAGAUGCAUCUGGAGUUGAAAUUCAGAAGCAAGUUAAGGUUCAAAUUGAAAAAAACAAUAUGGUGUUGGAAUUCAAAAGCAAACCGAGGUUCAAAUUCUAAAGCAAGCUGGAGUUGAAAUUUAAUGUCGACCAUUGAAAACAUAUAAAAGCAAGCUAACAUUGAAAAGAAAAGAAACACAACAAGAAAAAUGUUGAAGUUGAGAACGAAGAGAAACAAUAUGACUUAUGGGCAAAGGUGCCAAGAAAGGUGGAGGAAGUAAAAAUUCCUAAAGGCAAAACACUAAAAUUAGGAAGAAAGAAGAAGGUUGAAACAAGAAUGAAAUUAUUGAAGUUGAGAAGAUGGUAACUGUAAGCAAGAGUGUUGAGGUUGGAGUUUUUUCUCCACUCCUAAGCAUAACCAAUAGUCACCACUACAAUUACCUCAAGGAAAAAGAAAAAGAAAAAAUGUUAAAUUUCUUCUCACUUUGCAAUUAAAGGUAAGUUAACCAACAUGAUUUUAUUUUGCUUUCAGUUUAUAUUUUAACAAUGGAAGUGAAAGAAAAGCACUUUUAAUAUGAUGCAACGCAAUUGCAUAUGGGGAUGAUACUCUGAAAAUACGAGGAAAUAAACUUGAAGACUUAAUGUUUGGUAAGUUCACAAGUAGCGAGGUAUGUCGAUUUUAGGCUCAUGAAAGUGUUAAACCAUAUCAUAGAUGUAAAGAACUGGAUUUUAGUUGGAUCAAAUUUAUAAUAAGAUUAUGCAAUUUUCUGUUUGUAUCUUGUAAUUACUGAAAUAUAUUGUCAAGAGAUAAAUGCAGAUGAUGCAAAAAUUCAAUUGCAUAUUAAAGAUAAGGUAUAAUAAUGUAUCUUAUUUUCAUUAUUGUUCUGUUUCAAGGUCAUUGACUUCUAUUCAAAAUGGUUGAAGAGGCCUCAUUCCGAGGGAGCAAAAUGUGUAUAUGUGUCAUCUCUUGCACGGGUAAAACUACGUUAUAUUUUUUACUUUGUUUUCUAAAUUUGCCUAUUGAGUUCAUUUCUUAACAUGAUAUCCAAAUUUUCUUUUUUCCAAUAAAGAGUCAUCUCAAGUCAGAUAAAACAAAAUGUGUACAAAGAACAUUGCAUGAUAUCUUGUACAAGGAAUUGACUGAUGACGUCAAAUAUCCUUACGAAUACUUCACAGAGUAGUUACCAAGCAGAAGGAUACUGUUGUAAUGGUAUUGAGUAUGGUGGAAGAUGGAACGAUGUUGUUGUAGAAGCGAAUUAUGGAUGAAGUGAAGUUAUAGUUGACUCAAUACUACUAGAACAAUAAUCUUUCCCAAUUAAAGAUUCGAGUAUAGCGGCAAGGAAAGGUAUCAAUCCACUCUAAACACACAAGAAAUAAAGAAUACUACCAAUGAGAUGUCACAAUAUUUUGUAGGGAUUAUAUUUAUCUAAAUUAACUACUUCUAAUCUAAUACGAAUACUAAAACGGAUCGGAGUAAGAUUAAUAAAGGGAAUAGGGGACAUGUUCACCUGAUGAAUUCCACAUGAUAAUAAUCCAAUUAAUAUGCAUGUUCUUAGCUACUCACCUCUUAGCUAUUGUAGUUCCCUAGCUCACCUAUCAACUAUUGCUAGGAUAGAUAAACACUCACCUCUCAGCUAUUGCGUCUAACUAUUUUACUUGAGAUGCAUGAAUGGAGUGGAUGAAGCCCAAAGUAACAUUUUACUAAGUAAUCAAUCACAUGGUUCCACUCAUGCAAGUAUACGUAUAUAUGGCAUCUUCUAAUCAAUACAAAUUUAUAUUGAAACCCAAUUAUGUACUCACGUACCUCUCGGGUAUUGUAGGUAUUAAACAUGUAGGCAUGGUAAACAUACAAGACAAAAAAGGAUGAACUACACAUAUUACUUCUCUCUCGAUACGACAACAUGCAAGUAUUAUUAUUACCUCUUAUAUGAAAACGAUUCAAUGAAGAACAAACAUAAAAACUAUAUUAAAAUCAUGGGUUCAUCAAUGGAGGUUACUUAUCCCCUAAAGAUUUAGCCUUCCAUUGAUGAGGAAUAAGUUAUCAUCAAUAAGAAGAACAUACCUUUAUUCCUCUUAAACAUUAAAAGCCUAAUUACAACUUGCCUGAGAAUAAAUGCUUCAAGAAGAGACUUCUCAAGAGUUUGAUUAAAAAGAUUACCAGAUGUUCAAAACCCUAGUUUUCUAGAGUAUAUAUACUGUUCGGCCAUGCAAGCAUGCCUAAACACGUCAAGUCCGUCGUAGGAUCGAAGUAGGUCGGUGAAGGGCCCAUUAUCUUCCAGUCGACAUAGGACCAAAUAGUCUGGAAACUGGUCAACUCGCGGGAUGGCGACUAGUAGUCGCUUGGUGGAAAGUUGAUUGUUAACUUUCUGUCUUCGGUAGUGUUCUGCAUCCUUCAUGGAUCAUGGUACUUUUAUCCUAUGGGACUUUGGUUCAGUGGAAAUACUCCUCUGAGCUUGAUACAGUUGUGGUGGAAAUACUCCUCUGAGCUUGAUACAGUUGUGGUGGAAAUACUCCUCUGAGCUUGAUACAGUUGUGGCUUUCUUUUUUGCUUUAAAGUCUUCCUUCUCUUGGACUUGGAUUUUCUUUUUGAUGUAGGAGUCUUUGAGGAGGUAAACUUGGAGCUUUUAUUGACAUUGAUUCAUAAUCCAUCAACUUAAGCCCAAUACUUGUUACUUUAGGCCUUCUUUAAAGUUAUUGAGAGUUAAGGCCCGUGAAAUAUAAUAAACCUGAAAACAAGACUAAAAGAGACAUGCCCUUGUAGGGAUAAAUCAAAAGAAGUCUAAAAUAUCCUGGGUCAAAGAAGUAAAACCUACGACAUUCCCUCAACAAGGCGCAACAACAUAUAUCAUGAUCGGUCACAAAGCUUUAAUUCAUGGAUUUUAGAACCUUGAUGUAUCAUGAUUAGUCACAAGCUCUUUUUGUUUUUCAGGUCUGAUUAUGGUGUUUAUGUGUGCAAAAUAAUGGAAAGUUUGAGCCGCAAGGAGCAGUUGCGGAUAUCCAUCAGUAGAGGGUUUUGGAUCAGGCUCAACCCAUCUGGCUUUCCCCAAAAGCCCUUGACAUUAGUUAGAGUACGGUUAUGUACUACCAAUACAACCACUUACUAUGCGAUGUGGGACUAACCCAACUCUUAGGUGUUACAAUCCCACCACCUUAGAAUACAGUCAUCCUCGGCUCUACAACACACACAACGCAGUCCUAAAAUCUCCGACGUUCCGUGCCAAGUGAGACAAGUACCUGGCGUUCCCUGGGCCCUUCUAAUGUACUUCCCACCCGCAAUUGGAACCCGUCGUCGGCUCUGAUACCAUCUGUAACGGCCUGGGAUAUCUUUGUAAAAUAGAUCAUGAUGUGACAGAAUCUGCUUCUAUGGGUGAUGAAUCCACCUAGUGCAAUAGCUCUAUAUAUUUUGGUAAUUUUCUAACCUUCAUCUCUUUGAAAAUAUUGUGGUUUCAAUUUUGAGUUAAAAAUUCUUGUAUAAAGCUGUGAUCAUGAUCUAGGGAUGUUAGGGGGUGGUUCGGGGCCGGGUACCUCUAUCUCCAUCCCCAUCUCCAUUUAGUUUUUUUAGUCUCCAUCCCCGUCCGUUUCCCCGCUUGAGACUAUUCGGGGAACCCCGUCCCCGCCUCCAAUGGGGAUCGGUUCCCCGCGGGGCUCCAUUUUUGUUUUAGGUAAUAAAAAUAUAACAAUAAUAAUGACCAUUCAUAAAUUUAAAUUGUCAUAAUAAUAUCUCGAAUUAUAAAUUCAACUUAAAAACUUUAACUAAAUUUGACCCAAACAAAUUACAAGCUUAAAGUCAUGAACACACUUCACAUUAAAUUUAUGGUAAGCCCAUCAAUUACCUUGUAAAUUAUUUAAUUUUUAAAUCAAGUAUAUAAUCGGGUCGGGUCCGGGUUUGGAGACCAUAAUAUCCGUCCCCGCUCUAAAACCUACUCGGGUUUUAAAAUGACCUCCAUACCCACCUAGUCCUCAUAUAUACCCCAUCCAUAUCCACUCCAUCCGGUUCUCCAUGAGGAUUCGCCUCCACGGGGUUUUUUAUAUCGACAUGAUCAAACAAAAGGUUUUCUUUGUAAAAUUCUAUUGUGCUAUAAAUUUGAGUGCUUUGGUUGUCAAUCAAACUAAGUUCUUCAUUAGUUUAGAUGACAUAUUGUUAUGUGCUGAUGGUAUCAAGCUAGAUUGUAUUGUGGGUCUUUAAUGUCAUGUAUACAUAACUAGAUAUGGUUUGCAUACAAGUGACUCCACUUAAAUAUUAUUAGUAUGCUAAUUUAGGAGGUUCUAUGUUUCAUCUCGAAUGACUUAGGAUAUUGCUCAUCUUGAAAUUCGAUGAAGUUUUUCAGUAAAAUUUCUGACAUAGAAUUAUUUUGCUUACAUGGCAUUGACCAAGGUUGAGUUGUCAGUUUUUUUUUUGCCAAAUCAGUUUUGUCUUUCAUCUUCUUCACAUCAAUCUUGUGCUUUUUACUAAACAAAUUGGUGAUGGUGGGAUAUAAUGUCCCUGUAAAGGUUUGAUUCUUGUUCAAUUCAUGUUCUAUUGUUGUCGAUUAUAAAGCUUCUUGGACCUACCAAUAGCUCCACACAAUGUUUUGAAGAAAGUGUGUAGUUAUCUUAAACUAGGGUUUAAUUAUUUAGUCAAAUCUUUAUACCAUUAAACUAGGGUUUGAAAUCUAAGCAUGUAAUAUUAGAGGAAUUUAUUGGAUUUGGGAUUUUAUUCUUUAACUUGGGAGUUUUCAAAACCUAGGGUUCUAAAAUUUGGUGGUUUUAAGAAAUUAGGGUUCUUAAAUCAUGUUUUUUAAAGGUAAAUCUUAAAACACACAUUCAUUUAAGUUGUUUUUUAUUUUUCUAAUUUGCUUUACGUGGAAUUUAAUUUUAUUACACGUCACACAGUUCACCGGAGAAAUCAAUCGGAAUUAUUCAUAUUGUCAAUUUUGAAAGUUGACUUGAAGUUUGUUAUUAGUUUCCAAGUACAUUGUCAGUUUUGAAAAUAAGUUCAAAGUUCGUUGUCAAAAUGAAUAGUUUGGUCGUUUUUUAUGGGAAUAUCAUUCUUUUACAAUUAUAGAUUUUUAUAACAUUUUGUUUUAUUUUAUUUUUUUUGCAGGUUCAUGCUCGUUAGGUUGCUAAUUGGAAUGAUAUUAUUAGUUGCUGACUUGGCAUUUGUAUGUGGAUCUAUAUGGAAUUGGCUGAAGAAGUUGAGGACUUUCACCCCAUUUUAUGUAACUUUUUUUGGAAGUCUGAAAGAUUGAAAUGUCCAACACUUUAAACAUUAAUCUAUACUCUCUAUUAAAGUUGGGCACGCCCUUAAGAAAAUAUUCUCUCUCCAAAUUAGAGAAAAUUGAUGCUUUAAUUAAAGAGAAUUUGAUUAAAACUUAGAAUUGAAGGGUUAUUUUAGAACUUUUACACAAUAUUAGCCAUUGCAUUCAUAUAGUCGACAUUCCCCGCACAAUACAAUAGUUAGGAAGAGCAUUAUACCUUUUUCUAAAAAAAUAUUAAUUAAAUUUUCUUCUUAUGAGUUGCAUCAAAUCAGGAGAACAAUAACUUAAUGGAGAAAUUAGAGAAUAAUAUACAUUUACAUAAUAAAAUUCUACUAUCAAUUAAUUUCAAUAGAAAAAUUAAAUCUAAAUUAUAACAUGUAAAAUAACAACUGUGCAUCGCAUGGGUUAGAUAACUUGUUUUGGUGUAGUAAUCUUAAACCUUUUAAGGACCAAUGAAAAUAUGAAAUGUCAUAUUUUGUUAUAGUUUAUUAACUGGUCAACAAUUAGGCUAUAUAUUAUUACGCUGACAUGGCACUACAUGUUCCCCAACAGUAAUUUAAGAUAUGUCAUAUUACUGUUGUCUCGUGGGUGUUGUGGACCCCAUAGUCGGCUUGAUUAACCUGUUAUGUGGUUUAUUAAGAAGAUAAAUUAAUCUUCUCCUAGAUCAAUAUCCUUAUCAUCAUCUUCAUGCUGGGAAGAGCCGUGUUGAGAACAAUCUUGUUUGAAAUCCCACCAUGAAAUAAUUGUGUUACCAUGAUCAUCAGGGUCUUUACUGGUAUUGGAAGCAGUGUCCAUAGGAGAAAUAUCUCCAAAAGAAGCUUGGAUGUGCUCCUGCAUUUCUUUCAUGACUCGAAACUUGAUUUCUUGGGAUGAAAGCCCAGGAUGGGCUUUUGUUAAUUUUUCCCGAAUAAUUGCAACAGGAUUAUCUGUAAAAGUUUCUUUUGGAACUGGUGAUGGAGUAUGACGGGAAGUAAAUAAUUGUUCUAGCUUUUGAAUAUCAGGAGCAAUGGUCAAUAAUUUUUUCUCUGUGGGACAUUUUGCCCACCAUUUGUAAUGAUAUUGUCGGCAAAGACCAUGAAGUCCUUCAGAAGCUUGAAACUGACAACUGUAAGUCCAAGCCCAAAUCCAAGGGAUCAAAUAAUCUGCUAGGAAAAAGAGGAGUGAUCUUCCUCGAAUAGUAUCUUUUCCUUCGAAUAAGUGAUGAAAUUGGAGGUAAGGUUUAAAAAGAGCUUUUAAUUCUGAUGGUAAAAAAUCUAAAUUAGGGCCAAAUUUAUAAAACCAAUUAGGUAUUUCAUUAUUUUCUUUUUUGAAAUCUUCAUCAAAAUAGAGGAACCAAGAGUGUUUCCUCUGAGGAUUUUGGUAAAAGAAGGAAUAGGACCAUGCGUCCAUGUAAUCCCAAUAAUUAUAGGAUUGAUUAUAAUUAUGGUAUGGACCACGUAACUCCCGUAAUUUAUUUGGGUCUCCCCAAUUAGAAGACUUGAGGACCAAAUGGAUCAUUGCUUUGCUGUAAGCAAUAGGUGAAUUAAGGGUAUUACCCUUUCUAUUAUGCUCAAAGCUUACUGAUUUAGUCUCUUCUAAAAUUGAUUCAUAGAAAUAUCUAUGUUUUCCACCUCGGAUAGGACUAUUAUCCUUUUCAUCAAAAUAUUUUUGUCCCAAAAUUAUGGGAUCCGAUAACCAUUUUUCAUCCUCUGGAUUGAGGAUCACAAGUAGUUCUGUAUAAUUUUUUAAGAACAACUUGGGCUCAUUGUUGCUUAAUAAAGCUUCUUUCAUAGUUUUGUCCAUUGGGACUUUCAUAUUUUUGUCCAUUGGGACUUUUCCAGAAUAACCCGAAUUAGGGCCGAUAAGGCUCAAUUUGCCUUUACCUGUAAUUGAAGAACCCGAAUUAGGGUCGAUAAGGCUCAAUUUGCCUUUACCUGUAAUUGAAGAACCCGAAUUAGGGUCGAUAAGGCUCAAUUUGCCUUUUCCACGUCCUUGCCCCACGUAUGGUGCUGGACUAUGAUUACUCAUCCCUGCAAAUAUCUAUUUAAUAUCGGAUACCAUUACUCAAGUAUCUGUAAGUUUUCUUUUCUUUUCAUUGUAAUUAUUUUAGUUUUUAAUUUCAUGUGAAUAAAGCUUUCAGUAUUUUCUUCUGUUCUUCUUCUUCUUUAAUUUCUGUAUUUUAAUUUUAUGUUUUAAGUUUAGUAAUUUUCGCUGAAUUGUUUAGUUUAAUUUUACGAUUUAUAAUCCUGCUUUAAUUUUGGUAUCAGCGCCAUGUCAGCGUAAAUUACUGUUGGGGAACAUGUAGUGGCUUGACCAACAGUAAUUAUUCGAGAUAAGAACGAUGAUACUGUUUCAGUUCUUCAUUAAGAUAUGGAGAAUAUUCCUAAUCAAGGAACAUAGCAACUCCUUUGGAACACUGCAACCCUUUUGUAAGGGGAAUGGAUUGUCAAGCUGCUACUGGUGGCCUCUGACAGCAGCGGUGAUGAGGGUCUGAGCACUUAUGUGUAAAUCGACCUCUAUUGCUUAAAAUCUUGUUAGUAAUAUUAUCUAUUCUCUUAAAAGAGAUUUAUGAUUAGUCUUUUGACAUCGUCGCGUUGGACUACUCUGUAGUCUCCGACUAAUAAUUGUUUUGUAUUUGAUUUAUGGUUAUUAUCAACUCUGUCGCGUUGGACUACUUGUAGUCUCCAGCUGUAAUAGUUAAGUGUUCUGAGUUAUGAUGAACAUAGACUUCGUCGCGUUGUUUCCCGUUUAGCCGCAGGCAGAUGGCCGUUAGGCGUUUAGGGAUUUUAUUCGUUGACUGUUGAAGUUCAUCAUAAUUUUGGAUAUGAGAUUAUUAUUUGCUGUGACAUAAAUCGUUGACUAUUGAUAUUUAUCAUAAAUUAGGAUAUGAAAUAGUUUUAGUCGUGACUUAAAUCGCUGACUGUCAGUAUUAGUCAUGAUUAAUGAUCUGAAAUUUUAAUCUUUUAUGUUUUAUAUCAGGAUAAUUACUUUUGAGUAAAGAUCUGCAUGAUCCCUAACUCCUUAUUGACACUUUAUCUUUCGUGUUAUCUGGCAUAUCUAGUUUUAAUAUUUAAAUAUUCUAUAAUGAAUCAAAAUGAUAGAUACUUUAAUCCUUUGGCAAUCCCUUAUAGGGAGAGAAUUAAAAAUACUAUUUGGUAUUCAAUAGACCCAACCAAGGAAUUUAUCAUUGAUCGAGUGGCCAUCAAUAAUGAAUGGAAUAGUUCAAAGUAUGAUGACUUUCGAAAAUGGUUUUGGGAAAAUUAUAAUGAAGCUCAACAUGCGUUUAUUAAAACAAAUUAUUAUAAGCAUUUAGAUGAGAUUAGAUUUAUUAUUCCAUUUGCACAAUAUGUGCAAGAAAUGGGUAAUAUUCUAGAAUCAUAUGUAGCUAAAAGCUAUAUUAAUUAUUGGACCAAUACUGUUAAUAAAAGUUCUAAACCUGAUAAUCUUCCUACUAAGUUUCCUGUAAUAGAUGAACCUAUUGAGAAAUCGGCUGUUCCCAAGCAAUCGAUCUCUCCUAAAGAUGAAUCUAUUAUUCUGAAAUCAGUUGUUCCUAAACAACCAAUCUCAGAAGAGACAAAGUUAACUAAGGUUAUUUCAGAUUUACAACCAAUCAAUAAAUUUAUCAAUAUUGAUAAUACGGUUAAUAGACCUGAACUCGAUAAAAUCUAUUUUCUCCUUGAAAAACAAUCUGAUGAUUUAAGUCAAAAUCAACUGACCGAGACUUUGACUGAUAAUAAUAUUAUUAAUUUAUCACAAGAUAUUAAUACUGUAUCUGAUAAAAUUGAGAAUAUUGGAGACAGUAAUAUCAAUGUCAGACCAGAGGAUGAGCAUGAUGUCAUUCUUGCGAAUACUGACAGUGGUAUUAAUAUCACCCUAGAGGAUAAUAAUGAUACCAUUCUCGUUUCUUCUAGAAACGUUGACAGUAAUAUCAACGUCAGACCAGAGAAUGAACAUGAUGUCAUUCUUGAGAAAACUGACAGUGAUAUUAACGUCAGCCUAGAAGAUAAGGAUGAAGUCAUUCUUAUUAAUUCUUCUAGAAAAGUUGAUAAUUAUAUCAACAAUAAACAUGAUAAUAUCAUUCUUGUUUCUUCUAGGAAAAUUGACAGUGAUAUUAACGAUAGUCUAAAGGAUAAGCAUGAUGUCCCUAAUAAGGACACUCAUGAUGUCACUUAUGACGUCACCCACGAUGUCACUUUCAUUUCUUCUAGUAAAGAAACUAUUAUUUCAGAAUUAACUGAGAAUAAUGAAAUAGGACAAUAUCCUAAUCAAUUUGAUAAUACUAUAAGUGUUUUAUCACCUAGUAUUAAAAAUAUUAUUUCCAAAGGAAAAUCUCUAAAAAACCUUUCCGUCAGAAAUCUGUCUAUAAUAGAAUCUCUUUCAAAAAACAAUUUGUUCUUAAUGAUCGAUUUCUUAAAAGGAAAAUUUCCAAAAAACCCUUUCGUCAGAAAUUUGGAUACAGUAGUUCUAAUCAAGAUCUUUUUAAAAGGCAAUUUGUUUCAAAUUUCAAAAAACAAUUUGUUGAGAAUAAUCAAUUCCCUAAAAAGAAUAAUUUUAUAAAACAUGAUAAGGUUUAUUCUGAUAUAAUUGGAUUAAUUAAACCAGUUAAGCAUGAUUUUAUGGAUACUGUAAAACUACAAAUAGUGCAAAUCUAAUAAUUGAAUAUUCAAACAAAUCAAACGAUACGCAGAAAGUAAAUAACACACAGGAAUUUUUAACGUGGUAAAACCCAAUAUGGGAAACGUCCACGGUUGUCCUCUCGACAACAAAUAAAUCCACUAGAUGAAAAGAGAUGUACAAACCUAUCAACUACCUGCAAUCACUGCGAGUUGAUACUCCUGGUUAUCUCUAACACCUUGACUUCACCAGAGCACCUUGAUGUACGCACAAGACACUCGACUUCUUGAUGAACACACAAGAAGACUCGAAGUCGAACUAUGAAACAAGCUUACACCAGAGUUCCUUGAUGAACACACAAGGAUACUCGACUUCUUGAUGAACACACAAGAAGACUCGAAGCUAAAUCAAUAUAAACAAUAAUGAAGAAGAAGAUGAAUGGGGAAGAAGAAGAUGAGUUCAAUCACCAAAACCACCUAACCCAAAAACCUAAACAAACUCCAAGAAACAAGAGGUGAAUUGGACGGCCAAAGAACUGACUUGUUCUUUGGAAGAGAAACCCUAUUUAUACUUAGGGUUGGAAACCAAGGAAAGUGGGCCGAAAUAGUGCAAACCGACUUUGGACGUACGUACGUCGAUAUGACGUUCGUACGUCUCCACACGAAAAUAAGCCUGCUGUCUACUUGGACGUACGAACGUCCUGUAAAGGUACGUACGUCCAGAAUGCAAACUUCCCGGCUGACUAUCCAUAUGUACGUACGUCCUUCCAUGGUACGUACGUUUACCAAGAUAAACGUUCUGCUGACUACUUGGACGUACGAACGUCCUAACAAGGUACGUACGUCCUGAACCAAAAACCACACUAAUGACACACGACGCGAAGACAAGGACAUGGGACGACGCGCGUACAACCAGGUUUUCUUAACAAUGAACUCAAGGCGAAAUAACCAGGGACACUUUGUCACAAAAUUGAUGUCAAACCACUUUGUGCCGGUUUCAAUCUCCCCCUUUGACAUUGAUUUUGUGACAAAAACCUAUGACUCUAAUAGCACUUAUAAAACGUGCUUACAAACCCAAACCAUGGUAUUUAUAAAAUAUGCCUACAGAAUCACUCAAGGUAGAACACACACAAAGUCACCAAUUCUCGUUAUCCAACUUGAGCAAAACGCUUUAACCAUCAGAGACCGAACGGAAGCACUUAAGAAUUUCCGAAACAAUCAAGAAAUCAACAGAUCUUCCUUCAAGCAACUCCCCCAUACAUCAUGAGCUCCAAAAUUUUGACACUCGAGCUCCCCCAUACGUGUAGCAUACCUGAAACAUAACCCAAAAAUACACUAACAAGGAAGAAGAAGGUGUUAGUAUUAGAGUCAUAAAUCUCCCCCUUUUUGUCACAUAUGAAGCAAGGUAACAAAAGAAAGAGAAAAGAUAAAUACCAAACCAUAACAAAUAAGAUUAAAGAAGAAAAGUAAGAGAACAAUCAUGUUAACAACAAAAAGGAUAUGCAACGGAAGGCAUAAAAUAAACACUUGUUAACACGAUGUCAAUACAAAGAAUUCUCCCCCUAAACAAAAGCGUCACCUAAAUGCAAUGCAUAUGAGAAAGAUGCACCUAGAACAAACAAACCAAAUAAGGAUAUUUGAAACACACAAAAAACCCAUUCAUACAAGGGUAAGAAGAGAGUAAAGAGAAACCAUACCAUAAUCUGGGAAUCCAUGGACACACAAACUAAAAAAACAUGAGAGAGAUUCUAGGCAUAUAAAUGAAGNNNNNNNNNNNNNNNNNNNNNNNNNNNNNNNNNNNNNNNNNNNNNNNNNNNNNNNNNNNNNNNNNNNNNNNNNNNNNNNNNNNNNNNNNNNNNNNNNNNNGUACCAACUACCAAACCCAGACUUCGCUACUUAUAUAGGUAACAGAGGGAAGAAAAGAAAACAUAACAUGAAUCCCUAAUAGAAACCAAGAGAAACCUAUACAUAGAAGAAAGAGUCAGGACACCAACAAUCGGAACAAAUGAUUCACUAGAAUAUCACUUAAAACAACCGACCAUAACCACCUGAGAUAGAUUCCAGAGAAACGACUUCAUAGUAGCAAGUUAUCUAGAGAAAAAGAUCAAACAAACAAAAAGGAAGAAAUACCAUACCUGAUGAAAUUGGGAAGGUACAAUAAUGACCAAGAACCAAAUAGUCAAACCUGUGAGAAAUGUGCAAGAAAAGAAUAUGCGAAAAGAGAAAGAAGAAGAGAUAAACAAUAGUUAGUAGGAGAUAUGAAAGAGAAUAGGGAAACCAUGCAUAUUAGACACAUCCAACAAUAUCCCAUGACAAAACUACAGGAAUAUGAGUAUCUGCAGGAAGAGAUACGUAAAGUAUAAGAAAAUCCAUUGAGAAUCCAUGGGGAAAUCCAAUCUGUACAUGUUCCUGAAACAACUCAUUCAACCACAAAAAAAAAUUAGAGAAUCUUAUAAACAAGGAGAAGAAAAUAUUAUCCCAAACACAACGGAAUAAAGACAUAAAAGGAAUAAACCUGUAAGCCCACCCCUAGUGAAACCCAAAAAUUAGUUCAACAUAUGCCAAACAAGAUAAGCAAUCAUCAAGCUCAUAAAAAAAAUGCUGUAACUGAAGAAUGAGCAAGGAUUAUCGAUGUCACCAAGUCACAAAACAACAAUCUAACUUCAGAGUAAAUUUCCUGCCAGAACACUAAGACUCCGAUGACAUGCCAUACAUUGUCAGAAAGAUUAGAGAGUCAAUAGAAGAGAAUUGCUAACAAUAGAUGACCAAACUGAGCAUAUGCAUCCCAAAAUAGAACAGUGGUAGCCCAAAACCAUUGCAUGAGGAUUAUUGAAGAAGACUACCAAGAACACAUCUAAUCAAGCCUAUUGCAGGAAAAAAUAGGAUCAACCAGGCACAAGAAGCAACAAUAAGAGGAUAGGCAAGUCUCAUAAGCAUUGAAUCAAACACCAGCUAGCCAACAAGGUAAUUCAAGAAUAUGACCCCAACAUAGAAAAGUAUGAUGAGAACCUAUGAGAAAACAUGAAUUAGUAUAAAUCAUGACAACCGAAUACACCAAUAACAUGAUUUCAUCACCAAAAUAUGCUUAUGCAUACCUUGUAGCCUUCUUAAAACAAAUUGAGAACUAUUACCUUGAGAAAUCACAUCAAACACAUGUGAUCCAAUGACAAAAAUAGAAAGCAUGAAGUGUAAAACCAAAUACUACUAACAAUCUGACCUUAGUAUGUCAAUGAAACACCGACUGAAAAGAAUUACCAAGGAAUAGAACCAAAAUAGAGUAAGCCAUAAACACUUUCAGCAAGAACAUCUGCCUGUAAAGUUACUGAGAGAAAAAUAAAGUUGACGACACGCACAUUGUCCAUGAACAAGAAUCCGAAGAAAUGACGCCUCUACUCCUUUGAGCACGAGGAGGACGUGUGCCCGAUGACGAAGCACCCUUGGAACUGGGUGUUUCUUUGGUGGGAGUAGUCCGAGCUCGCUGAGGAGGCAUGUCCUGCACACACACAACAUUAUAAACACCACACAAGUAAGUAAAACCAACAAAACAACCAAGAAAAACCUUAGGAAACUCCAUUCAGGCAUUUCACCAAACACUUGGUGAGCAAUACAGAACAUAUAGGUAAAAACACUACAUGAGCAUACCAAAAUGAUACUAAACAUGUCCAAGAAACUCCACAACCAUUAAUAAUCACAAGAAGUUCCAAAAUUAUCUAGACAACAAGUAUAUAUCCAAUGGUAUGAACCCAACAUGAUCAUGGUAAACAAACUCUUAAUCCAAAGCAUAACAGACAAAUAAUAAUGCAGCAUCAAGAUAAAAUGAAAAAACCUUGCUGCCUGAACAUGCGUACGAACGUAAUAACACCGUUCGUACGUUCCUCCAAAAAAAAAUCUGCCUCCACAAACAUUCGAACGUGCUAAUAACGUUCGUACUCCCUUUUUUUUUUUUUUUUUUUUUUUUUUAACAAUAGAGAACUAACCUUAAUAACAGAAAAACAAACCGAAUAACUAACAACACAAACCAUAAUAAGAAGAUAAAAGGAAAAGAACCGAUGUACCAUAAAAGUGAAGAGGAAUACAUCAAGAACUUCCAAAACAGUAGCCAAUCCCAAUUCGUACAAAAAUAAGAGGCAAUAUAUGGGAAUAAACAAAAGAUUGAACAAAUAAGAGAAUUGAAGUGCAUCAUAAACUAAACCUCGGUGUGUGUAGAUGCAAUGCAAUGCAUAAAGAGAGAGAAAGUUCACCACUAGAACACACCCUUUGAAGACCUAGAAUAUAGAACCAUCAACAAGAGACAUACGAUUAGAUUAGUAAGUGAGCAUAGAAGAAACAAACUUCAACCCCCUUUGAAACAAACGUUAUGAGUAGAAGGCAAACGAAUAUAAAUAUGAUAUUUCAAGUGAAAACCAAGACAUUAAAAAGGCAAAGGAAUAUAAACUUUGUAUGCCUUACAUAAAAAAAAAAACAAUGAAUAUGCGCUUGGAUUUUUAUUUUGCCGCAUGUGGUGGAGUUUAGUCUACAUCACUCUAAUGUCAUUCCCGCGUGGGAGGGAUUUUUGCCUCCAUCUUUUCAAAUACACGAGGGUAGGGUGUAGCCUACAUCUUUUUGACAAACACAAACUCAAGAAGUGCAAUACCAUGAUAACGUGCAACACAAGAACUAACAUCUCUUGAGUGCAUCCGUCAGAGCAUGACCCUCACAACCCCAACGGGUUCUUAGCCAACUGAUAUUGCUUUAAAGACAAUCAAAUGGCUGGGGAUAAAGUGAGUCAUUGACCACUAACAAGAGUUGUAAGAGGAAGAUAAGAAUACUCAAUAACACAAACAACAAGAUGAACACUAACCAAAACAAAGGAGAGAUAGCUCAAGAUAACAUAAAUACUCGAGAGAUAGAGAAGUUCUAUGAGUUCAAAGAAUAUGUAAGUGGUUUCCAAAAACUCCCAUUAUACAAGCAUGUCGUGCACUGUGCAAACAAGCGAGGAAAAAUGCAUGAUACAUACCAAAACAUACUUAAGAGUUCAAAAAGAGAAAACACCCAAACAUAUUGCAACUUAUUUAAGACAAUCGAAUUAAACCAAUGUCUCAGAAAAGAUGUAACCAACAACACAUACAUGGAAUAAAUAAAGAAAAAUAGAAGGAAUAACCAACAAUGUAUUCAGACAUGCAACAUGAUCUGCAAGCUGAACAAACAAAGCAUAAAAAGUAGAAACACCAAACAGAUAGCCUAUGUGGUUAGAGAAAUAUGCAAUUCAAAUAACACAAGGCUAGAAACAACCUACAUCAUCCCAAAUAUGAGACACCACCAGACUUUUGCAAGUCCAGAAAAACCUGCAACUUAUCUUUUCUUACCCAUACUUGUUUAACACUAGGCGUGCACACCUUGGGAGUUGAAAAGAUAUGAGAUCUUCCCUUAACAAGCUUUUCAAUAGACUUGUCCUUAACUAGUUUCACCUUAGUCUUUGACUUCCUUUUGUCGGAGUGCCUGUUUUUCUUAAACCUAUGAGAAGAAGCAUUAAAAGUCCGAGGUCUAGAAAAUGCACAAGAAGAAACAUAAGAAUCAACAUGAUUAUAACGAUGAGGAACACGAGAAUAGGAUGCAACAUGUUGAUUAAAAUCCCAACAAAAGAUAUUCAAAUGACCAAUUCUACCACAAUAAGAACAAUGAAAAACAUCAGAAUGUCUCAAAGAGGUUUUAUAAGAAGAUAAGGCAGUCGUGGGUGAAACAUGUAAGUCACCAUUGUGUUUGUGACAUUGUCCCUUAACAAAACCUGUACCUCCAGUAUGAGAACAAGACGUCUUACCAGCAAAAACAACCUUACCAUUAGCCUUAGACUUAAACUUUAUGCGAGAAACAUGUUGAAAAGUAUUAGUAUUAAGUCUAGUCUCAAUAGGUGGGGUAGGCAAAAGGGCAGGCAAACUAGUAGAUUUUACAGGAGUAAUCACACUAGAUGAACUAGUAGAACUAUCAAUAGGAGAAUCAAAUCUAGUUUUGUCCACAACCUGCAAUUGGAGUUGAGUAGACGUUAAAUCGUUCUUUGUUACCUCAUACUCCACCAAUAGAGAUUUGUAUUUCUCAUCGACCUCCUGAUUGGCCUUCUCUAAAGCUGCAAUUCUACAUAACAAGUCAAGUUUUUCUUUGUCAAAUAAUUGAGAAAUAGAAAUUGUAUCAUCUGCAGCACAAGAAAUCUGUUUUUCAAGAAUCUCAAUUUUAUCCUGCAAAGAAAGAUUAGCCUUUUCCAAAUUUUCAAUUUUGGAUUCAUAAACUUCCCCUUGAAGCAUAUAGUCCUCUGCACAAUGUCUGAGUCGUUGUUCUAGAGAAUCAACCUUAGUCUGCAAAACACCAUUAUCUUCAAAACAAACAUUAUCAGAAAUAGUAGACACAUUACAAUUAGCUUUAUUAAAUUUUUCCUGCAAAUCAAUAUUAGCUUUUUGUAAUCUUUCACAUUCUUUUGCAGAAAGUCUGUAAAGAAGAGCCCAAUCACUAUUGCUAACAACAUACAAAUUAUCAUCCUUUUCAAAAUCAGAUUUUGGUUUUGUAGAUUUAGACGAUUUAGCAAUAAAAUUAUUAUGACCAGACUCAUGAACCAUCAUUGCACUCAUAGGAUCGUUAGCGUGAGCCUUGACGCUCCUUAACCAGCCCCCAGCGACUGAUACCAAUUGUAAAACUACAAAUAGUGCAAAUCUAAUAAUUGAAUAUUCAAACAAAUCAAACGAUACGCAGAAAGUAAAUAACACACAGGAAUUUUUAACGUGGUAAAACCCAAUAUGGGAAACGUCCACGGUUGUCCUCUCGACAACAAAUAAAUCCACUAGAUGAAAAGAGAUGUAUAAACCUAUCAACUACCUGCAAUCACUGCGAGUUGAUACUCCUGGUUAUCUCUAACACCUUGACUUCACCAGAGCACCUUGAUGUACGCACAAGACACUCGACUUCUUGAUGAACACACAAGAAGACUCGAAGUCGAACUAUGAAACAAGCUUACACCAGAGUUCCUUGAUGAACACACAAGGAUACUCGACUUCUUGAUGAACACACAAGAAGACUCGAAGCUAAAUCAAUAUAAACAAUAAUGAAGAAGAAGAUGAAUGGGGAAGAAGAAGAUGAGUUCAAUCACCAAAACCACCUAAACCAAAAACCUAAACAAACUCCAAGAAACAAGAGGUGAAUUGGACGGCCAAAGAACUGACUUGUUCUUUGGAAGAGAAACCCUAUUUAUACUUAGGGUUGGAAACCAAGGAAAGUGGGCCGAAAUAGUGCAAACCGACUUUGGACGUACGUACAUCGAUAUGACGUUCGUACGUCUCCACACGAAAAUAAGCCUGCUGUCUACUUGGACGUACGAACGUCCUGUAAAGGUACGUACGUCCAGAAUGCAAACUUCCCGGCUGACUAUCCAUACGUACGUACGUCCUUCCAUGGUACGUACGUUUACCAAGAUAAACGUUCUGCUGACUACUUGGACGUACGAACGUCCUAACAAGGUACGUACGUCCUGAACCAAAAACCACACUAAUGACACAUGACGCGAAGACAAGGACACGGGACGACGCGCGUACAACCAGGUUUUCUUAACAAUGAACUCAAGGCGAAAUAACCAGGGACACUUUGUCACAAAAUUGAUGUCAAACCACUUUGUGCCGGUUUCAGAUACCACUAAUAGUGAUUCAAAAUUUACAAAAGUUUUUUAUCAAAAGAUUUCUCUAAAUUAUGACAUGCUAAAUGACAGGCUUAGUAUUAAUGUCCUGAGUAAUGAUCAGACCUUAAUUUUAAAUGUUAUUAAUAAAAUAUCUAAUCCUGUUGAAAAAAGACAAGUUUUUCAAAAUUAUUUGGAAAAUAAUUCUAAGACUCUUUCUUCUUUUGAUAAUACUGAUUCUAGUUCUAUGAUUAGUAGAUCUACUAUUUCUGACCUUAAAGGUGAAAUUAAUAAUCUUAAAUCAGAUAUUAAAAUCUUAAAGGAGAAAAUUUUCUUAUCCCAGAUUCAAACAAAUUCUAAUCCUUUAUCAGAAUUAGAGAAUACUGGGGAUUUAUUAUCCUUAAAUCACCCUACCAAUCAAAAAUGGCAUAUUAAAGUAAACCUGGUUAUUAAUCAAGAAUUUACUUUAGAAACUAUUGCUUUGGUUGAUAGUAGUUCCGACCUUAAUUGUAUAAGAGAAGGUUUAAUUCCUACUAACUAUUUUGAAAAAACUAAGUAUGCUUUGAAUACUGCUAAUGGUUCUCCUAUGAGAAUCAAUUAUAAAUUAUCUGAUGUUUUUGUUUGCAAUGAUGGUAUUUGUAUUAAUACCUCUUUUGUUUUAUCCGAUAAUUUAUCUCAAAUGGUAAUAUUAGGAAGACCCUUUUUUAACCUUAUUUGGCCAAUUGAAAGAAUUGAUAAUAGUGGAAUUCACACGACUAUAAAAGGUAAAAAGAUAGUGUUUGAAUUCGUCACUAAACCUAAGAUUAACUAUCUUAAUCAAUUACAAGAAACUUUGUUUUUAAAAGAAAAACAAAUUAAUUUUUUAUCUCAGGAAAUUGGAUAUGCUUCUAUUAACAAACAAUUAAAGCAAUUUACUAUUAAAGAAAAAAUCCUUUCUUUAGAAAAACAAUUUCAAAAAGAGAUAUGUAGUGAUGUUCCUAAUGCUUUUUGGGACAGAAAACAACACAUUGUUAAAUUACCCUAUAUUGAAGGUUUUAAUGAAAACAUGAUACCUACUAAGGCUAGACCUAUUCAAAUGAAUAAAAUUUAUAUGGAAUUAUGUAAGACUGAAAUCCAAGGUCUUUUAGAUAAACAGCUUAUUAGGAAAAGCUUUUCUUGUUGGAGUUGUGCAGCUUUUUAUGUUAAUAGAAAUGCUGAACGAGAAAGAAGAAUUCCUAGAUUAGUUAUUAAUUACAAACCCCUUAAUAAGGUUUUGCAAUGGAUUCGUUAUCCUAUUCCUAAUAAAAAGGAUUUAUUAAAAUGGUUAAUUGAUACUCGCAUAUUUUCUAAAUUUGGUUUAAAAUCAGGGGUUUUGCCAGUUCAAAUUACUGAACGAAAUAAUUAUAUAACUACUAUUCCUUUUAGUCAUGGAAUGUUAUGGAUGUUUAUUUAAAAAUAUUCCUAAAAAAAUUAUGAAUUAUGAUUUUUACUUAUACUGAAUUCGGUAUUGUUUAUAUUGAUCUUUUCUAAAUUUUAUUGAUCAGCAUUUUAAACAUCUAAAUACAUUUUCCCAUCUUAUUAAGAAAAAUGGUUUAGUUGUUUCUGCAUCAAAAUUGAAAAUUUUAAAUUAUUUUAAAAAAAAAAAAAAAGACAUAAUAUUUGUCAAAGAAAACAUCAUCCUUAUUGACAGGUCUAAUAAAAGAUAAAACUAUUUCAAAGGGUUUUAGUAGCCUUAAUUUUAUUUCUAGUCAUCAUAAAGAUUUAGCUUCUUGGCAUCAAAAUUCUUUAUGAAUGAAUUUGCAAAAAUCCUGAACCUUGGUUUUCGAUUUUAACAAUAACGGUUCAGAAAAUAAAAGAUAAAAAAUUGCUUUAUUUAUCACUUGUAAAUCCUAAUGGAUGGAAAAUUAUUAAAAUAAUAUUUUCGAUAUUCAAGGAUCAGCUUACCUUGUCUAUUGAGAUAGAUACAUUUCCAUCAUGUUUGAAGGAUUAAUUUAUGUCUAAUAAGACAAUAACAUAUUUAUCUCCAUCCUAAUUGAAGGAUUGAUUUAUGUCUAAUAAGACAACAAAAUAUUUCCGUCCUAAUUAAAGGAUUGGUUUAUCCUAAUUGAAGGAUUGAUUGAUGGUCUCCAAUGGGACAAGAGUAUUUCCAUCCUAAUUAAAGGAUUGGUUUAUCCUAAUUAAAGGAUUAAUUUAUGAUGUCUUAUAAGACAACGAAUCCAAUAUUUUGACUAAUUUGUCAUAAUGAUUCAUUUUGUCUAAUAAGACGACAACUGCCAUAAUAUUUAUGUCUUAUAGACGAUAAUUGAUUUCUUGACAGGAAUGACUCCUCUUGGUCAGAAAUCUGGUCCUAAUUCGGACUCCAUGAAGGGAAAAGGUAAAACUUCCUCCCUUCUCCCCAAAAUAGGGAUAUUUUCUCCGGCCAUUAAUGAUAGAAAAAGAGAAAUUAGUCAAUCAACAGACUAUGACUGUGGUACUAUAAUAUUUUCGAAAGAGCCCAAUGGGGAACUUUUUACCCUUACAAAGGAUGAUGAUGAAUGGGUAAAAAAGCCUGUUUACUUUGGUACCAGAAACUGGGGUCAGGGGACUUAUAGUCCAAAUAUCAUUUAUAAUCACAGAAAUUUCUACGAAGCUAUUUUGCUUGAGACCAAUUCUGUCCAUCUGGAUAAUUCUCCAACCACUAUUAGCCAAUUUUCUUUACCUAUUCGGAAAGCCGUUAUUCAUAACGUCAUAGAACAAAAUGAAUGGGGUAAUCCAGAAUCCGCUAGAACCCUUAUUGGUCCUUUUUUCAAAGCUAAACCCUUUAGCAACCAAAAUUUUUCAUACUGGGAUUAUAUGGACGCUUGGACUUUUACUUUUUCCCACCAAAUCCCUGAAGAAAAAUAUUCUUGGAUGUUCUACUUUUCUACCAAUUUUGAAAAGAAAACAAUUCCCGCCUGGUUUAAUAAUUGGUGCUUUAAAUUUAAUCCUCCAGUUAACUUUGCUCCAGCCAAGUUAACAAUUCUAAAUUAUAACUUCAAAAGAAAUUCUUCUGGUGAAAUAGAAUUUACUGAACAUCACACUACUUUUUCAUGACAAAAUUCCUAAGUCAUCUAUUAUUUCCCACCUUAUCACAGGACAAAUAACUGUUCAAUUUCUUGUUAUUAUUCAAAACUUUCUCCUUUCAUGGCCCACAAGUCAUUCCAAUUUCCUGGUUUAUUAGCCAUUCACUUUCCAUCUUUCAAAGCAAUUCUAUUAGUAUUCCCGUGAGUCAAUGGAACCACUUUGUUAAUCUACUCAAUUAUCAGACUCCAAGACAAAAGAUGGGGUCCACACAAUAAGACAAUUGAUCUACAGAAGAAACCCACUUAUCCGACUAAUCAGCCGACUAUGGGGUCUAUAACACCUGCAAAUUACUCUGCCGACAUCAAAAGCUACUAUUUGAUAGGGGCUACGACUAUGGGGUCUACAACACCCGCAAAUUACUCUGCCGACAUUAAUAAUGUGCGCUUCUAUUUGAUGGGGUCCACCACUCACAAGGUGCCUAAUGGGACCCGGCCACUAAGAAGAUGCUCUCAACAGGGCCCACACACAAGGUGCUCAAUGGGGCCCACCCACUAGCAAAAUGCCCAAUGGGGCCCACUUCUCACUUUCAAUUUGCCUAUAUAAAGAGGCAUUUUCCAAUGAAGAAGAAACAAGCUCAGACAUUCUCUCCCUCUCUAAAGCUCGACAAUCUCCAGCAAGCCUUCUCCCUUACUCUCUUAAGCCUUCUCCUCUCUUCUCUUCCUUUCUCUACUUGUAAUCUUUUCUUCUGUAACCUUUCCCUUUUCUUUUUCAACUUGUAAUCUUUUGGUGUGCUUAGUAUCUACCUGAAACUUUAUUCAGGGGGUAUAUAUAUGUGAAUUACUCAAGUAUCUGUAAGUUUUCUUUUCUUUUCUUUGUAAUUAUUUUAGUUUUUAAUUUCAUGUGAAUAAAGCUUUCAGUAUUUUCUUCUGUUCUUUUUCUUCUUCUGUUCUUCUUCUUCUUUAAUUUCUGUAUUUUAAUUUUAUGUUUUAAGUUAUAAUUCUACUAACAGCAUUUUGCCGUUAGAAAACACCUGUUCUGGUGUUGUGGAAAUAAGAAUGACUUCAUCCUUAUCUUCUAGGCUGACGUUAAUAUCACUGUCAGUUUUCUCAAGAAUGACAUCAUGUUCAUUCUCUGGUCUGACGUUGAUAUUACUGUCAACGUUUCUAGAAGAAACGAGAAUGGUAUCAUUAUUAUCCUCUAGGGUGAUAUUAAUACCACUGUCAGUAUUCGCAAGAAUGACAUCAUGCUCAUCCUCUGGUCUGACAUUGAUAUUACUGUCUCCAAUAUUCUCAAUUUUAUCAGAUACAGUAUUAAUAUCUUGUGAUAAAUUAAUAAUAUUAUUAUCAGUCAAAGUCUCGAUCAGUUGAUUUUGACUUAAAUCAUCAGAUUGUUUUUCAAGGAGAAAAUAGAUUUUAUCGAGUUCAGGUCUAUUAACCGUAUUAUCAAUAUUGAUAAAUUUACUGAUUGGUUGUAAAUCUGAAAUAACCUUAGUUAACUUUGUCUCUUCUGAGAUUGGUUGUUUAGGAACAACUGAUUUCAGAAUAAUAGAUUCAUCUUUAGGAGAGAUCGAUUGCUUGGGAACAGCCGAUUUCUCAAUAGGUUCAUCUAUUACAGGAGACUUAGUAGGAAGAUUAUCAGGUUUAGAACUUUUAUUAACAGUAUUGGUCCAAUAAUUAAUAUAGCUUUUAGCUACAUAUGAUUCUAGAAUAUUACCCAUUUCUUGCACAUAUUGUGCAAAUGGAAUAAUAAAUCUAAUCUCAUCUAAAUGCUUAUAAUAAUUUGUUUUAAUAAACGCAUGUUGAGCUUCAUUAUAAUUUUCCCAAUACCAUUUUCGAAAGCCAUCAUACUCUGAACUAUUCCAUUCAUUAUUGAUGGCCAUUCGAUCAAUGAUAAAUUCCUUGGUUGGGUCUAUUGAAUACCAAAUAGUAUUUUUAAUUCUCUCCCUAUAAGGGAUUGCCAAAGGAUUAAAGUAUCUAUCAUUUUGAUUCAUAAUUAAAUAUUAAAAACUAGAUAAUUUAUGACUCGAAAGGUAAAGUGUCAAUAAGGAGUUAGGGAUCAUGCAGAUCUUUACUCAAAAGUAAUUAUCCUGAUAUAAAACAUAAAAGAUUAAAAUUUCAGAUCAUUAAUCAUGACUAAUACUGACAGUCAGCGAUUUAAGUCACGACUAAAACUAUUUCAUAUCCUAAUUUAUGAUAAAUAUCAAUAGUCAACGAUUUAUGUCACAGCAAAUAAUAAUCUCAUAUCCAAAAUUAUGAUGAACUUCAACAGUCAACGAAUAAAAUCCCUAAACGCCUAACGGCCAUCUGCCUGCGGCUAAACGGGAAACAACGCGACGAAGUCUAUGUUCAUCAUAACUCAGAACACUUAACUAUUACAGCUGGAGACUACAAGUAGUCCAACGCGACGAUGUCAAAAGACUAAUCAUAAAUCUCUUUUAAGAGAAUAGAUAAUAUUACUAACAAGAUUUUAAGCAAUAGAGGUCGAUUUACACAUAAGUGCUCAGACCCUCAUCACCGCUGCUGUCAGAGGCCACCAGUAGCAGCUUGACAAUCCAUUCCCCUUACAAAAGGGUUGCAGUGCUCCAAAGGAGUUGCUAUGUUCCUUGAUUAGGAAUAUUCUCCAUAUCUUAAUGAAGAACUGAAACAGUAUCAUCGUUCUUAUCUCGAAUAAUUACUGUUGGUCAAGCCACUACAUGUUCCCCAACAGUAAUUUAAGAUAUGGUUAAUCCUGCUUUAAUUGUGAAUUAGCGCCAUCUACAGAAGAAACAUAAUUUUGGUGUGCUUAAUUUUGGUAUCAGCGCCAUGUCAGCGUAAAUUACUGUUGGGGAACAUGUAGUGGCUUGACCAACAGUAAUUAUUCGAGAUAAGAACGAUGAUACUGUUUCAGUUCUUCAUUAAGAUAUGGAGAAUAUUCCUAAUCAAGGAACAUAGCAACUCCUUUGGAGCACUGCAACCCUUUUGUAAGGGGAAUGGAUUGUCAAGCUACUACUGGUAGCCUCUGACAGCAGCGGUGAUGAGGGUCUGAGCACUUAUGUGUAAAUCGACCUCUAUUGCUUAAAAUCUUGUUAGUAAUAUUAUCUAUUCUUUUAAAAGAGAUUUAUGAUUAGUCUUUUGACAUCGUCGCGUUGGACUACUCGGUAGUCUCCGACUAAUAAUUGUUUUGUAUUUGAUUUAUGGUUAUUAUCAACUCUGUCGCGUUGGACUACUUGUAGUCUCCAGCUGUAAUAGUUAAGUGUUCUGAGUUAUGAUGAACAUAGACUUCGUCGCGUUGUUUCCCGUUUAGCCGCAGGCAGAUGGCCGUUAGGCGUUUAGGGAUUUUAUUCGUUGACUGUUGAAGUUCAUCAUAAUUUUGGAUAUGAGAUUAUUAUUUGCUGUGACAUAAAUCGUUGACUAUUGAUAUUUAUCAUGAAUUAAGAUAUGAAAUAGUUGUAGUCGUGACUUAAAUCCCUGACUGUCAGUAUUAAUCAUGAUUAAUGAUCUGAAAUUUUAAUCUUUUAUGUUUUUAAUUCUGGAUAAUUACUUUUGGGUAAAGAUCUGCAUGAUCCCUAACUCCUUAUUGACAUCUUCACUUUCACGAUAUUCUGUUAGUUUUACUGCUUUGUUUAAUAUGUUUAAUAUGUUUAAAAAUAAAAAGAAAUUUUUAAAAAAUGAAGAAUGUAUUGAAAUCUCUAAUAUAGAGAAAAUGGAAAAUGAAUUAUUAAAUUGGGAUAUGCCUAGAAUUGAACCUAAAAGGAUUUAUAACAUUGGUUCUUUUGAUUAUAAAGUCGCUAUGUCUAUUAAGACAGUAGAACAUACCAUGCCAAUUAAUGGAAAUAAAAAAUCUAUUCCUCUAAUAACUGAGCAAGAUAUUACUAGAUAUCGUCAAAAUUAUCACUACAUCCAUAUAGGAUUAAUUCAAAUUGCUGUUAAACCUUUACACCUAAAAGGAAUUGAUUGUUGUUUUCUUCUAGCCCUUAGAGAUGCUAGAUGCACUAAUUAUCAAAAAUCCUUAAUGGGUAUUAUGGAAUCCACUACGAGUAAUGGACCCGUUUACUGUAAUAUUUACCCUAAUCUGGAGUUAUCCCUAUCUGAUGAUAAUAUCAUGCAAAGUGUUAUGAUGGACUUAGAUACUAAAGGAUAUGAAUUCCUUUCUGGUUCUGAGAUUCUUAAUAUUGCUUAUAGAAUCCAAUUUAAAGUUAUGAACACUUUAAGUCCUAAUGCUAAAUUAAUUAGUAAUAAAGGCAAUACAACCAUUAUUGAAACAAAUUUGGGAAAGUCCAAUAUGGCUUGUAAUAAAAUUAUUCCUUGGGAUCAGAUUAGUUAUCCUGAGAACUGGGAUCACCAGGGAAUUAUCCCUGCCCAACCUGUUAAUAGGAACUUAGAUCAAAUCAUCCAGAACCCCGAAGGUGAUAUUGAAAUAAGAUUUUCCUCUAACAGGAUAUCCCGGCUUAGAUCUGUAAAAAAUUUCUAUUAUCAGGAACCAUCUAGAGCUUCUACUUCUAGUAUUCCUGAUAAAAUAAAAUCUGAAUUAGAUGAUGAAUUUGAGAUUAAAGGAAUAAAAGAAUCUAACAAUGCUAUUCCUCAUGGUCUUUAUAAUAGGACUUCUGCCCUCAAUCCUACCCCUUCGGAAAUGAAUUUUUCUAUUAAUAUAAUAGAAUUAAUCAAUGAAUUUAAAAUUGAUAGGGUAGCCAUCCAUAACGAAUGGAAAAAUCCUAAAUAUGAUGCCUUUCGAAAAUGGUAUAAUGACCAGUAUAAUGAUGAACAACAUGAAAUUUUGAAAGAAAAUUAUUACAAUUAUUUAAGUGAUACUAAGAGUAUUAUUCCAUUCGCGCAUUAUGUGCUGGGAUGGGAUAGGACUUUAGAAUCAUGUGUUAUCAAAGAAUUUUAUAACAAUUGGACUACCACUGAUAGUAAAAAUAUUACUUGUACUCAUCCUCCUACCCAGCCUUUAAAAUUAAUCAAUGAGUCAUCUAUUCUAGAAACGGUGGCUUAUAUUCAACCUUCCGAUAAGGAUACAGAAUUAAAUAAGGUUUUCAAACAGUCCAAUUAUACUAAUUUAUGUCUACAAACUAUUGGAAGACAAUUAAUACGCAUUGAAGAUGUUGUUAGCAAACCAGAACCCAAUAAAGAGGUUUUUCCUGUUAAUAUUAAACCUCCUCCUGAUAUGAAGUUUAAUUUAGGAAAUAAUAAAUUAAGUCAGGACGAUUUUAUGGAAGAACUUACUAGAAAGUUGAAGGAUAUAAAAUUAACCAAUAAUCAUAUCGAUGUGUUAUCACAAAAUGAGGAUUUAUCUAGUAAAGAUAUUGAAGAAUUUCAAAAUAUAUUACAUAAUAUGGAACAGGAAGUUAAUGAACUGGAAUUUAGCAAAUCCAAUAAAGCCAAAAUACCACCUACUAGGACUUAUUAUCCCAGACCUACCACUAUGGAUAUUCUUAAUGAAGAAGAUUACAUUGCUGUCCAAACAUCAUAUAGUGCUAAGACUAUAUAUGAAUGGAACAUAGACAGUUUAUCUGAAUAUAUGAUAUAUGUCACUCUGCAUAGAAUUCUUAUGUUUGCUACUGUUUGCAAAAAUUCUAAUAAUACUGAUAAGCAAACAGCCGGUUGUAUUAUAGCCGGUUUUACGGGGCAAUUAAAAGGAUGGUGGGAUAACCUUCUUACCCCUAGCCAAAGAGAAGAGAUUCUUGGUUCGGUUAAAUUAGAAAUUAAUACCUCAGGCCAACAAUCCCACAUUGAGGAUGCUGUUUAUACUUUAAUUCAAACAAUAAUUAAACAUUUUAUCGGUAAUACUAUUACCGCUAAUGAAAGAGGUAAAGAUUUAUUCAUGAAUUUGAAAUGCCCAACUUUAACUCAUUUUCGUUGGUACAAAGAUAUUUUUUGGCAAAAAUCACGAAUAGACAUGAUGGUAAUAAUGCCUUUUGGAAAGAAAAAUUUAUUUCUGGAUUACCUAUUCUUUUUGCUGAAAAAGUCAAAAAUAGACUUAAAAACAAACAUGAUGGGAUUCAAAUUCCUUAUGAUUAUUACACUUACGGAGAACUUAUUAGUGAAUGCACUUCGGAGGGUUUAGCCCUUUGUAAUGAUAUUCGGCUUAAGAAUCAGCUUAAGAAACAAAAUUUAACCGGGAAAAAAGAAUUAGGUCAAUUUUGUGAACAAUUUGGGUAUGAUAUACCUAAACAGAAAGAUAAAACUGAUUUAUCAAAAAGAUUUUCUAAGAAAUAUUUCAGAAGAAAACCUUAUAAAAGACCUGACCAGGUCUUUCCUAAACAGAAAUCUAAUUUCUCCCCUAAAGAUAAUAAAGGGAAUGUUAAAAAUAUUACUUGCCAUAAAUGUGGUAAAAAAGGUCAUUAUGCUAAUCGGUGUUAUUCUAAAACCGAUAUUCGUAAACAAAUCAACGAAUUAGGCAUUGAUGACAAUAUUAAAAAACAAAUUAACCAAAUUCUGGAUAAUAGUGAAACUUCUAGUAACUACUAUUCGGAUAAUUCUUCUGACCAAAUCAUGGAAGUUGAGGAGCUCACUAAUAGUGAGUCCGACAAUAGUAAUAAGUCUGAGAAAGGAUGUUCUGCACACUGCAAGACUUCCCAAGACUAUUACAAAGCUAUUAUUGAUAUGAAUGGCCUUAGUAUAAAUGUUUUGUCUGAAAGCCAAACUUUAAUUCUUGAUAUGAUUGACAAUAUUGUCGAUCCUACUGAGAAAAGACAGGCUAUUGAAAAAUAUAUAAAAGACUCCUAUAAUAAUAGGUUAAAUUCUAGUAUUAUGGAGCCUUAUUCUUUGCAAAAGGUUUUCGACAGAAUAGAAUCAAAACCUUUGAUUAAAGAAGUUCCUAUUUCUGAAUUUAGAAAAGAAAUAGACAAUUGCAAAACCGAAAUUAAUAAUCUAAAAUGGAGAAUUUCCCGUUUGGAGAAGAAAGAUACUCUUCCUAUUCCUAUCAUCAAUAAGGAUGAAAGUAAAGGGUUAUUAUCAUUAGAUAAUAAUAAUCAGAAAUGGUAUGUUAAUAUCAAACUCAUGAUUCAGGAUUUCAUUUUAGAAACUAUUGCCCUAAUAGAUAGUGGAUCAGACCUAAAUUGUAUAAGGCAAGAUCUAGUGCCUUCUAGAUAUUUUGAAAAGGUCCAUUGUGCCUUGAAUACUGCAAACAGUUCUCCUAUGGAGAUAAAUAAUAAACUAUCAAAUGUUUUAAUAUGUAACAAUACUAUUCGUAUAAAAACCUAUUUUGUUCUGUCUAACACUUUAUCCCAAAUGGUAAUUUUAGGAAAACCUUUUUUAAGCCUUAUCUGGCCCAUCGAAAGAAUUGAUGAUGAGGGUAUUCAUACUAUCCUUAUGGGAAAAAAGGUUAUUUUUGAAUUUAUCAUAAAACCUGAUAAGGACUAUACCCAACAAUUAAAAGAAAAAAGGGUUUUUGAAAUAUUUGAGGAACAUUCUAGUUCUGAAAUCAAUAUUCCUCUUAUCUAACCAUAUUCUUUUUGUAACAGGAAAUCUCCUGAUUAAAGAAUUGAUUUAUGUCUAGUAAGGCAAAUACAUAAUUAUCUCCAUCCUAAUUGAAGGAUUGAUCUACGUCUAAUAAGACGAUAAAUUUCUAUCCUAAUUCAAGGAAUCAAUUAUCCUAAUUAAAGGAUUUAUAGUUCUCUAAUGAGACAAAGAGUUGUUCCAUCCUAAUAAGAGGAUUGAUUUAUGAUGACUAAAUUGUCAGAAUGAUUCUUUCGUUUUAAUAAAAUGACACUUGCUUCAAUUGUUUUGCAGGAAUGAAUACUCCUAGCAGAAAUAAUCCUAAUUCGGAUUCUAUUAAGAGAAAACGAGAAAUAUCUUUCUCUCCUCCCAAAUGGGAAGAAUUAUCUCCUUCCUUAAAAGAAAGGAAACAAAAUAUCAGUAAGUCCUCUACAGAAGAUAAUAAUACCAGAUCAUAUCUGAAGAAUUCCAAUGAAUUAAUUUUUGACCUUACUAAUAACGACAUGAUGUGGUUAUACUCACCCAUCUAUCGUGGUUUGGAAAAUUUUGACCCAGAGACUAAUAGUCCCUCCCAAAUUCUUGAACGUAGAAAUUUCUACGAAUCCAUUUUAAUUACGACCAAUUCAGUCUCUUUUUUCUAAGGUUAAUAACCGAUUUUCUAAACCUUAUCGUAAUGCUCUCAUUCAUAAAAUAAUAGAACCUCCCGAAUGGGGUGAACCAUUUAUUACCAAACCUCUUAUAGGUCCUUUUCCUCAUUUCAACAAUCUUCGGACCUUCAAUCAUUGGGACUAUAUGGAUGCAUGGACAUAUACAUUCUUUCAUCAAAAUCCCCAACAAGAAUAUUUCUGGAAUUUUUCCUUUUCCCCCGAAUUCAGCAGUACUAUACCUACCUGGUUCUUUAACUGGUGGUUUAAAUUUAACCCAGGCAUGAAUUAUAUUGCCUCCGACAUAACAAUUUUAAAUUACCAUUUUAUAUUAAAAUCAGAUGGUCAAAUAGAAUUGACAGAUUACAACCCACCUUUUUCAUGGAGAAUUAUGGCAAAAGACUCACAAUUAAACCAAACUUUUCAGAAUUUUGGUAUCUAAUACUACCAUCUCUUUUCUAGAGAAAAAGUAUCGAUCCAAAUUACCGACCAGCUUAAUCGUAAGGAUCUAUAAUUAUUGAACUCCGACACGAAUGAUGGAGUCCACAUAACAGGUUAAUCAACCUACUAUAGGGUCCACAACACCCACGAGACAACAGGUUAUUCUACCGACAAUUAUGGGGUCUACAACACCCACAAGGCAACAGGUUCCUCUACCGACAACAAAGUGCCUAUUAUUCACUGAGGCUUACCCACUUACAACUGGGGUCCACACAUUAUCACAAGAUGCCAAAUGGGGUCCACCAGAAGAUGCUCAAUGGAGCCCACACAUCAUAAGGUGCCAAAUAGGGCCCACCCACUAGCAAGAUGCCCAAUGGGGCCCACUUCCCACUCUCAAUUUGCCUAUAAAAAGAGGCAUUUGUAAAGAAAGAAAACAAGCUCAGACAUUCUCUCCCUCUCUAAAGCUCGGACAAUCUCCAGCAAGCCUUCUCCCUUACUCUCUUAAGCCUUCUCCUCUCUUCUCUUCCUUUCUCUACUUGUAAUCUUUUCUCUACUUGUAAUAUUACUUAUAUAUAUAUUAUAUAUAUAAUAUAUAUAUAUAUAUAUAUAUAUAUAUAUAUAUAUAUAUAUAUAUAUAUAUAUUAUGAUGGUUUAUAGUCAGUAGUUCUACAAUAAUAUCUAUACUGUUCUUCACUGUUUCACUUGGGGAAGCUAUUGUAAAGUUGUUCCGAAAAGAAUAUUGCCUUUGGAAAUUGGAAGAGAUUGAAUAUGCAAAUGGGUUAACUAUACCCGACUGAUCCAAACCGAUCGCUUUUGUUCGGGUCGAUUGAUAAGUCCUCAAAAGUGUAUAUUUAUCCCCUGAAUAACACCUUGUUUGUCUAGCACUUAGCUUAUAUUAUUGUGUUAUAUCUAUUGAUUAGUGUUUUCUUGUCUAUUGUGUAGGUUUCAUGAGACGCAAUACGAAUAUUGUGUUAAAGCCCACCAAAAGUCAAGAAAAGCGACAAAAAAAGUGUUAUUUGCACUAAGGGAAGAGAAUUAAUAUUUGCACCCACAGAUCUGCUGAGGGCACCCUACGGUCAGUCCUGUUGACUUGACUAUAUGUCAAAGUGGGGAGGUCCGAAUCUCAGCCCAAACCGGGUCCUAUUGAAGCCCACAAGUCAGAAUUUCUAUUUAGGGCUUUUAUUUAAAGUCCAAACUUAAAAAAGCUCUACAAGGAGAUCCAGAAGUCUGAUUUGGGCCCAUGAGCUAUCAAACUGAAGGUCUGGUCCAAGCUACAACUUAAGCCCAAGAGAAUUAGGUUUUGCUAAAGACGUAAUGCUUCUAGAAGACCAACAGCAGCAGCCACGAAUUUGACCUAAUUUAGAUGUUUUUGCAUGCAAGUAUUAUUCUUUGUAUUUUCUAUAUAAGAGAAGUAGUAGCUAAGGUUUAGGUAGCUUUUGAAGAAUCAUUGAAUAGAGAGGAAAGUGAAUAUUUGUGACAGAAAAGUUCAUCUUCUUCUUUUUCUUUAUAUCAAAAACUCUAUUCAAUAUCAAUCCAUAUCUUUUCCAUUACGAUGUCUUGUGAUUUAUUUAUUUAUUCCAUGGUGUCAUCAUCAAGGAUGAGUAGCUAAAUCUCCUUAGUGGGAUGGUUGAAGUACUGUAGAUGAUGGAAAAGAACCAUGUUUGUUCUUAAUGUUCAUUGUGAUUCAAAGCUCUUAAUACUUAUUUACUUCUAAUUUGCGAUAUGAGAUAAGUAUGAUUAUUUGUAUGUUAUUGUUAUCCAUGUUGUUAAAAUACUAUUGUUAGGGUUUAGGGAGACCUAUCUUUAGUGGUUGUGUUCAUAUUGAUUGAAGAUGUGUAGUGAAAUAGCUGAGAGGUGAUUAUUACAUAUCUGCAGUUAGUAUCUUUUAUUGGAACCCUUUUGUAAUUAAAUCAAAUAGCUGAAAGGUGAUAGUUUAGUUAUGAAUUAAUAUAUUGAGUUAAUUAAAUUGAAUAGCUGAAAGGUGACGGUUUGAUUAAUAAGACAUAUUCAAUAGCAUGCAUAAGAGAAUCUCAUUUUAAUUGAGUGGAAUAGCUGAGAGGUGACUACUUGAUUAUUAUAGGUAUUGAUGAUUAAUUGGAAUAGCUGAGAGGUGACUAAUUAAUUAUCAUAGAUUGAACAUGAAGAAACAACAUAUUAUGUUUGCAUGAUUUAGUUUGUGGAUACCAAUUCUUCUCCCUAUGUCAUCAUAAGAUCUUCUUUUCAUCUUUACCAUCUUCUUAAGUUAGUUUAUUAUUAUUGCCUGUAGGAAGUAGAAUCAAUCUCUAUCUUAAUUAUUGAUUCCCUUGGUGUUCUUUAAUAAUUGUUUUCAAUUGUGUUUGAGCUAAGACCUUCACCUUGGAGGUGGGUACGACCCUUGCUUGUUACUUGUCUACUUUGUUAACCAAUUUAUAUAGGCACAAGAAGGAAAAUCUAUAAAAAUAUAAUCUUUUGUUUAGAGAAGGUAAAAACCCAAUCUAUCAUCGAUUGGGUCAGAUAUGGACUAGCUAAAAUUAAACCGGGUCGGAUACAAUAUUGAAUUUAGGAUCCAUUUCGGAUGCGGAUGGUUUUAGCAUACAAAAAAUGGAUCUAGACCUAGAUGACCGAUAAGUCCUCAAAAGUGUAUAUUUAUCCCCCGAAUAACACCUUGUGUGUAUAACACUUAGCAUAUAUUAUUAUGUUAUAUCUAUUGAUUAGUGUUUUCUUGUCUAUUGUGUAGGUUUCAUGAACCAAAAUGCGAAUAUUGUAUUAAAGCACGCCAAAAGUCAAGAAAAGCCACCAAAAAUAUGUUAUUUGCACAAGAAAAAGAAUCGAUAUUUGCACUCAUAGAUCUGCUGAGGGCACCCCACGGCUGGUCCUAUUGACUUGACUUUAUGUCAAAGUGGGGCGGUCCAAUUCUCAGCCCAAACCGGGUCCUAUUGAAGCCCACAACUCAGAAUUUCUAUUCUAGGCCUUUAUUUAAAGUCCAAUCUUAAAAAGGCUCUACAAGAAGAUCCAGAAGACUUAAUACCUCUAGAAGACCAACAGCAGCAACCACAAAUUUGACCUAAUUUGGAAGUCUUUGUAUGCAAGUAUUAUGCUUUGUAUUGUCUAUAUAAGAGAAGUAAUAGCUAGGGUUUAGGAUGUUAAUACAGUUUAUGUUUAAGAAGUCAAUGUUUGUAUUGAACUCAAUUCUUAUCAAUAUCAAUCCAUUACUUUUUCUUAUGAUGUUUCUAGGACGUUCUCGGCAGGAAUUUGCCUCGUGUUGCCGUAUUUUUCCAGGAUGUUCCAGAGCACUUUUUGAAUUAAUUGUUUUUCCCUGUUGAGUGAUUGUGAGGUGCACUAAGUAGUUUAAUUUUUCCAGCAUUUUUAAAGACUUGUAAGAUAUUUAAUUAUUCGAUCCACGAAGGGGUCGCGGUUGUAAUAUUUUUAAAGUAGGUGUUGCUAGGAUUUAUUUAUUGUGUGUUUGUGGAGGAUAGUAGAGCAAGGUUGUGGAGCUAGCCUUUAAUCUACUAAGGAACGAUUCCUAAGGACGAUUGAAACCCAAGGAGCGGUUUCCUAUUAGUCGACUUCAACUCGUCUUCUCCCCACUUUUGUGCGCUUGUUUGGCAAUUUUUACUUUUUAGCACAAAGUGGGAGGUAAGCAUUCUCCUAACCCUCCUUGAAUCCCUUGCAAGAGGAGUUUCUGUAAUGAUUAAGAUGACCUUGAUUGUUGUUUGAUUUUAAUUCUGUUUUUACUUGUUAAACCGGGACUGCAAGACGAACCUGGCCUAAAAUUUAAACCUAUAUCAAUUGAUUGCAAUAUCCUAAGCUUUAAAGUUCAAUCAACUAAAGCCAUGGUAUCACGAUGUUCAUUUGAGACCUUGAGCAAAUAUUUCAACUAGUACUGCGUGAACCAUUCUUUGAUUGGAGCACAAGCUAGGAAUUGGGUCUAGAACCCCUACAGAUUACGUCUGUAGAAUCACUGUGGUUAUUUAAUUAAAGAACGUUGCUUAUGCGGGGAAAACCUCCCACACUGGUUAUUCGCUACUUGACUCACGAAAUAUAGAGAGAAUUCACAAGGGAAUCUUGGAAAGAACUCAUUUACUUGGGUGAACACAAAAUUGAGUCAGUUUUUUAGCCCCUUGUUAGAUGUUUUUGAAUGAUUAGGACUUCUGUGGCAUAUGUAAUGUGCAUGUUGCAUGCAUCUUAAAUUUGAUAAAAUCUUGUCCAAACCUAUUUUAAUCUACACAAAGAGCACAAUCACGGACCUCACUCUUUAUCUUGAGGAAGAGUUUAACGACUCAACCUCCAUACCUUCCGAGGAAGAGUUCAACGACUCAACCUCACUUUCUGAAGUAACUCCUGCACCUAUGGCUCAAGAAGCUACCCUUCGGGAUUACUUUUUACCUUUGGCCACUGGGCCACCUACCUACAUAGUCUUGCCCGAGACAACUACNNNNNNNNNNNNNNNNNNNNNNNNNNNNNNNNNNNNNNNNNNNNNNNNNNNNNNNNNNNNNNNNNNNNNNNNNNNNNNNNNNNNNNNNNNNNNNNNNNNNGUAAAAAAGUAAUCCCGAAAGGUAGCUUCUUGAGCCAUAGGUGCAGGAGUUACUUCAGAAAGUGAGGUUGAGUCGUUGAACUUUUCCUAAGAAGGCUAUGGCAUUCGCCCACAGAUUGUGGGCAUGUUGCCUAAGUUCCAUGGACUUCCACAAGAAGAUCCAUAUCAGCACAUCAACAAGUUUCUGACCGUUCUUAAUACUUUUUAAGAAGAAAUACUUGUAUGGAGAGGAAGUUAGGUUGAGAUUGUUCCCCUUUUCUCUUGAGGAUCGAGCAUCUCACUGGUUGCAUGGCCUUCCUUCCAAUUCCAUUAAUACCUGGGCUCAACUUAGCAAAAAGUUCUUCACCAAAUUCUUUCCUGUUACCAAAACUAAUGACAUUGUUGAUACCAUUAAAAAUUUCCGGCAGAAAGAGUGCGAAAUAUUCUUUGAUGCAUGGGAGAGAUAUCAAGAACUAUUUCUUUAGUGUCCACACCACAAAGUCGAUGACCUUGAAAAAGUUAGGAUUAUAUUUAGAGGCCUUAAUACUAUAACUAGAAACAUGGUUGAAGGCAUGAGCGGUGGAGAUUUUCUUUAUUAUUCCACCGCCAAGGCUAUGGAAUUCCUUGAAAAAAUAGCUACUAAUAGCCAGCAAUGGGACAUACCUGGACAUACCCUGAUAAACACUACCCCAGACUCAUUUGAUAAACCUAGAGGCAUAUAUGAGGUCAAGCCUGACCCCAAGUUUAAAACUUUACUUCAUGGUUUAGUAAAAAAGGUAGAAGCACUUGAGGUAUCCUUAAAGCCCACAUCACAUGUUAUGAGUGUCUUCACUCUCCAAUGUGAUGUUUGUCAUGACCAUACCCAUACUGCCGAAUUUUGCCCUCUCCUUUAUAAUUCACCAGAAAUUGGGGAAGCCUAUGCGUUUAAUUAGGCCGGGAGGACCAAAUUUACUAAGGGCAAUGCCAUGUACCCAUACAUGGACCGCUCCAAGCCUCCAAUCUGUCUUAUUCCAAUAAUAAUUAUACGGCUCCACCUAGUUUUAACAACUCUUAUGAGCAACGUGGCAAUGCCACAUAUGUUGGUAAUAAUGAUAAUCGGAACAGGGUAACGGUCCCCUCUUACUCGAACAAUGUUCAUCACAUGAGUAUUUCCAGGCACCAAGUACAAACCAAUCAGUCUGCCCCUCCUAAGACCUCCCUUCAGGAUGUGCUUGCCAGUUUCAUUCAAAAAAUGCAAGCGUCCAUUGAUUUAUAUGCCCAAGCCAUCCAGAGGAUUGAACAAAAACUUGAUGAAAAGGGCAGAUUUCCGAGACAGUCCAUCUCGAACCCCAAAGGCAAGGAAGUUGCUUUGGUGACGGAAACUCCAUCUCCGUCUGUACCGCUUGUUGAAGUAAAAUCGGUUUCCACCUUUAGGUUCGGUAAACAGGUCGAUAAUCAUGUUAAUUAUGUGCCCAGUCCAAAUAUGUGACCACGAUUACCUCUGCACCUGUUGCCCCAUCUAAAGCUCCAGCUAAUAAGGUGACCACCUCUAAGCUGAAGAAGACUUCCCGUGAGAUUGGGGAUCCUCCACGAACUUACAACCCGCCCGUACCUUACCCCCAGAGACUCACAAGGUCUCUGAAGGAAGUCCAAGCAGAGGAAGUACUUAAUGUGUUCAAACAUAUAAAUAAUAACAUACCCUUCCUCACGGCCAUUAAACAGAUACCUUCCUAUGCCAAGGUUUUGAAAGAUUUGUGUACCACCAAGAGAAAAAACAAAAUGUGCCUAAAAACGUGUUUAUGGCGGAAGAAUUCUCUGCACUUGUCCAACAUAACGGCGUGGUUAAAUAUAAGGACCCUGGAAAACCGACCAUACCUUGUAAGCUUGGUGACAAGUUCAUGGGCAAAGCUUUGCUAGACCUAGGAGCGAGUGUUAAUCCUUUACAUUACUCCUUGUACCUCAGCCUGGGUCUAACAAACUUAAAACCCACGACCAUGUCUUUACAACUGGCCGACAGAUCAUUGAAAGUACCUAGAGGAAUAGUUGAGGACCUGUUAGUUAAAGUGUCUGACUUUUACUACCCCGUUGACUUUGUGGUGUUGGAUACUGAACCUACUGUCGAUGACUCGGUACCCAUUAUCCUCGGACGUCCAUUUUUUGCCACCUCUAAUGCUCUCAUAAACUGCCGGAACAGUUGUAUGGUUCUCACUUUUGGCUCUAUGACUGUUGAAGUAUAUAUAUUUAACCUUGGCCAACACCCCCCUGAUCUUUCUUUAUCUGAAGAUGUGUGCCUUCUUGACUCAUUACCUUAUGAAAUGGUGCAUAGUUAUUAUCCUGAAGAUCCGGUUAUUCACUGCCUUGCCAUGCAUAAUGUAGACUUUGACAUUGACCAAUAUAUUGCCCAAACCAAUGCUCUUCUUGAUACUGUGCCUAUCUUUGAACCUAAAGACCUUGAGGCUCUUGAUUCGGUUUGUAGCAUAGAUUCUGAGACCCAAGUUGAGACCAUCACUCCACAUCCUGUUACUCUGAGUCCUCUUCCUCGUAAGCUGAAAUAUGUUCAUCUUGAUUCACACGGUAGUCACCCUGUUAUUAUUUCUUCAUCUCUUACUACCGAACAGGAGAGUCAGCUUUUAGAAGUUAUCCAAGAGCAUCGUUCUGCUAUUGCAUGGUCUAUCCACGACAUUAAAUGUAUUAGCCCUUCUGUUUGUUCUCAUCGUAUUCAUCUUGAGGACGAUCUUAAAACUUCUCGUGAACCUCAGAGACAUCUUAACCCUGCGAUGAAAGAAGUUGUUCAUGCUGAAAUUCUCAAACUUCUGGAUGCAGGUGUAAUUUAUCCCAUUUUUGAUAGUCCCUGGGUUAGUCAUAUUCAAGUGGUUUCUAAAAAGGCCGGCAUGACUGUAGUUACCAAUGAUAAGAACGAAUAAGUCGCCACUAGAGUUCCAACCAAGUGGCGUGUUUGUAUCGAUUAUAGAAAGCUUAAUACAGUCACCAGGAAGGAUCACUUUCCUCUUUCCUUCAUAGACCAGAUGUUGGAGCGCAUGGCUAGUCAUUCCUUCUAUUGUUUCUUGGAUGGUUACUCCGGUUACAAUCAAAUUCCUAUCGCCCCUAAAGAUCAAAAGAUGAAAACCUUUACCUGUCCCUUCAGCACUUUCGUUUAUGCCUGUAUGCCUUUUGGUCUGUGUGAUGCACCUACUACCUUCCAGAGGAGUAUGUUACACAUCUUUAGUGAUAUAGUAGAACGAUUUAUGGAGGUGUUUAUGGAUGACUUUUCCAUAUAUGGUUCAUCUUUUGAAGAGUGUCUUAGUCAUCUUUCCUUGGUUUUUAAGCGUUGUAAUGAGAAGAAUUUGGUGCUUAACUAGGAAAAGUGCCAUUUCAUGGUUAGAAAGGGAAUAGUUCUAGCUUAUGUAGUCUCUCCUGAGGGUAUCCAGGUUGAUAAAGCUAAAGUAUAUCUUGUUUCAUCCUUGCCUAUUCCUAAGUCUAUUAGGGAUAUUCGAGCCUUUCUAGGCCAUGCAAGAUUCUAUCGACGCUUUAUCCAAGAUUUUUCAAAGAUAGCUCGCCCCCUAACCAAUUUAUUGCUUAAGGAUGCACCUUUUGACUUCACAAAAGAAUGCAAGAGCACAUUUGAAAAUCUUAAAACAACCCUCACGACUGCACCCAUCAUUAGGCCACCUGAUUGGAGUAAACCCUUUGAGCUGAUGUGCGAUGCAUCAGACUCUCAAUGAACGUAAUUAUACUACGAAUGAGAAAGAAUUGUUAGCCGUAGUAUUUGCUUUUGAUAAGUUUCGUUCCUACCUUUUAGGUACCUGUACUGCCAUCUUCACGGAUCAUAUUGUACUUAGAUUCCUCCUCUCCAAGAAGGAAACUAAGCAGCGCCUUAUUCGUUGGAUUUUGUUGCUUCAAGAAUUUGACCUUGAAAUUAAAGAUAAAAAAAGGACCAAAAAUGUAGUAGUCGACCACUUGUCUAGACUCGACCAUCCUGAGGAUUCUAGUGUCAUUUCUGAGAACUUUCCCGAUGAGCUUCUUUUCGCAAUAUCGAAUGCUCCAUGGUUUGCAGAUAUAGUUAAUUACUUGGCUAGCAACAAGUUUCUAAGUCAUUGGAACAAGCAAGAUAGAUGCAAAUUCCUUGCUAAUGCCAAGCAUUAUUUUUGGGAUGACCCUUACCUUUUUAAGUAUUGUCCUGACCAGAUCAUUCGUCGUUGCAUUCCUGACUGGGAGUAACAAGAGAUCCUUAAGUUCUGCCAUGAGCAUGUUUAUGGUGGACACUUUAGUGCCAAGAAGACAACUGCUAAAGUAUUGCAGUGUGGUUUUUAUUGGCCAACUCUCUUUAAGGACGCUCACAUGCAUUGUACUAUCUGCACUCGUUGUCAACACCUAGGGAAAAUCACUAGGCGACACAUGAUGCCCUUACAGCCAAUUCUUCCUAUCGAAGUUUUUGAUGUUUGGGGCAUUGAUUUCAUGGGUCCUUUUUCUGGUUGUCAUGGUUUUUUGUACAUUCUGGUCUUAGUAGACUAUGUUUCUAAAUGGAUCGAGGCCAUUCCCACAUGGCACAACGACCAAGAAACUGUAGUAAAUUUUAUCAAAGAGUACAUAUUUGCCCGAUUUGGCGAUCCCCGUGCGAUCAUUAGUGAUGGGGGGAGCCAUUUCUGUAAUAAAGCUUUUCAAAAACUUGUCCAAAAGUAUGGAGUAACUCACAAGGUGGCCUUUGUGUAUCAUCCGCAAACCAAUGGCCAAGUUGAGGUUUCCAAUAGAGAGAUUAAAAAUAUUUUGCAAAACACAAUUGACCCUAAAAAGGUCGAUUGGUCUCUUAGAGUCAGUGAUGCAUUAUGGGCCUAUCGUACUGCUUUUAAAACUCCCAUAUGCAUGUCUCCCUUUCGCCUUGUCUUUGGAAAACCCUGUCACCUACCUGUAGAGCUUGAGCACCGGGCCUUCUAGGCAAUGACAAAGCUCAACUUUAAUCUCGACCAGGCAGGUAAGAGGAGAAAACUCCAGCUUUCUGAGCUUGAGGAACUUCGGAAUGAAGCUUAUGAUCUUUUUUAGUCUUAUAAGGCUAAAAUGAAAAAAACUGCAUGAUCGUCAGAUCUUACGUAGAGAUUUUUAAAUUGGGGACAAAGUUUUACUGUAUUACUCUCGUCUGCAUUUAUUUUCUGGUAAACUACAGUCUCGUUGGUCGAGUCCCUUUAUUGUGUAUGCAGUAACUCCUUAUGGUGUUAUUACUUGUUUAAACCCUACAGACAAUUGUGAAUUUCAAGUCAAUUGUCAACGUCUUAAGCAUUUCCAUGAAUUAAGGUCCCCUGAAGUUGAGGAAACUCUCUUAAAGGACCCUACCUAUUUAGACUAACCCCUGACCUACAGGUAUCCAGACCCUCUUUUACUCUAUUCUGUUGUCUCUUUUGAGAGGUGUGGUUGAAAGUGUCGGGGCCAUAGUCCACAAACUCUUACUGGCUAAGUAUAAUUGAUCCAGUGCACGUUUUUCUCUUGAGCGUCGCCACCAAACAGAACCUGUUUCCCGCUCUGUUUGGGGGUGGGGAAGACAUUUUCCAUCUUCUUUUAAGUCUUGAAUAUCUGACUUUAAAAGACUCUUUGUUGUAUCUUAGACAUCAGGAUCUCGCGCAUUCCACUCUAGCAUUUUAUUUCUCCAGUAUAUUUAUUUAGAGUAGCAUUUAUCUAGGGAGUGAGUCAUGUUUGUCUGUGUGUCUAGCUGAAGACGUUAAACUUAGCGCUCCUGGGAGGCAUCCUUGUGUAUCUUCUAAGCCCGAUCGUGCUUUAUUGGUCUUUUAUUUGAUGUCGGGUUUAGUGAUUUUUUGGCUGAUAAACUACACUUUUGAAUCUGUGUGUUAAUUUUGUUUGGGGGUGGGCGCAACCCACCACUCUCUGUUGCAGUUUGUUUUGUUAAAUAAUUAUUAAGGUUAAAAAUUUGAAUUUAGUUCAAUUUUUAGAAUUUUCAAUAAUUAUUGCUUGAUUUCAGAAUUUAUUUGACAUCUUACAUUAUCACAGAAUUUUCAAAAUUAAAUUUGAAUUAUUUCGUUCCUUUACGCAUUCUGGGGGUAAAACCAUUCACUCAUUCCAGUAGUAGGGGGAAGCGUAUCGGGGAAGUUACUGGUCUAACUAUACCUACGGGUGUUAUAGAAAAGUCACAAGUCACUUUCAUUUCCAAGUCAAACCAAGUCAACUUGGGUCAACAGAAGUCUUCUCCCCUUCCAGAACUCGACUCGAGAUCAGUUCAGUUCAUUUGGAACUCGACUCGAGUUCAUAACAGAUUCGAUUUCUCUCUCUUCGAUUCUCCCUCAUCUGUGGCCAAAUUCGAAAUUUCUUCUUGGGUUUUGUUCCUCUUUAAUUUCUCUUCAAUUCUCUCUUCGAAAUUUCUCUCGCGUUGUCGUUCGAGAACGCGACUAUUCUUAUCUCUUCGACGAUAAUCACUUUGGGAGUGGUUUUGUUGAGCGAAUUUACGCCAGAGGUUGUGAUGUGCUCCUUGGCUCGGAUUAUGAGCCAUUUGAUCCUCAAAUGGUUCGUCGAUUUUAUGAGUCAAUGGAGUUGACCAAUGAGGGUGUUUUCGUCAAUUGGGAUGCUUGUCAUCAUUUUCUGUUCUCGCCCGAGACCGUCUCUAUGGUCACGACCCUCGAGCUUGACGAGGCUUCUCUCCAGCAAGAGGCUGCACUGGUGACCCCUGACGUCUUCAAAGCUGUUCUAGUCGAUGACCGGGCGGCUCAUCGGUACAGCAGCCCUAUCUCCAUCGGUUGGCUCCGAGUCAACCAAGGCUUGGUGGCUCACUGGUUGACCACCAAUGUCCUUGGGACGACAAUGACGAACAAGCUGUUCUCGGAGGGCAUCGAUAUCCUGCAGCUUUUCCAGGAGAACCUCCAUGGCUACUACAUGGUUCGUCACAUGUUCCAUACCAUCACCAACGCCCGUUCUACUUCUGCGCCUCUUCCCAGCCUGGUGAUGGGUAUUUUGUGCUACUAGGAGGCGCGUCUUCCUUCUGCUCUUUCUCUGGAGUCAGUUAUCCAUCUCGAGGUCUCCAACCCUGGACUGUGUGCCUGCCGACAGUCGUUGUGGGACCUUCAGGAGGAAGCGCCAAUUCACUAUAGACCCGGCGACCAGCGGGCAUUCGAGCAGAUCCAUACCAACGAGGAACGGUUCCAGCUUCUCUGGAGGGGUAUGGGAGAGAUCAUGGAUGCAGUUGAUGACAUCCAACGUUGUUUGGACCAAGGCCUGGCGCAGCCUCGUCAGCGACGUGGUUGAGAUUUUGGAUAGUCAACCAUUUUAUUUUAUUUUUCAUGUAUUUUGUUUUAGUUCUUUACAUUUUUGCAUUAAAUUUCAAUCCUUGUACUUUAUUACAAAAUAUUAAUGAAAUGGAUGAAAUUUUAUUUUUCGAAACUUGUCAUUUUCUGAAAUUUUUAGCCAUUCAUGGGUUUUAUUGCAAAAAUCUGGACUUGUGGAGUUAUUUUCAAAAUUUUCUGGUCCUAGGGACCUAAGUCCAAUUAUUUUAAAAGAAAGAGGUUAGGGUUUUGAUUUUUGGAAACCCUAAUGAUAUAGGCAAUUUUUUAAGUUGUAAUUGGGCUCAAACUCUUUUAUUUUUGCCUAUAAAUACCAAACCAAGGUUAGGAGACCGUCACUCAUAAAUCAGAAAACUCUUUAUUUUUCUGGAACCGUUUAAUCUUGAGUCGAGUUCCAUAUAGGCAUACCUGAUCUCGAGUCGAGUUCUGGUCUGGCAACAGUUUUUGCUUUGGUUUCUGUGCAAUUUUUCUCGGUUUUUGUGCUGGUUUUUGGUAUUUUUCUUUUUCUUUUGCAAUAACUGAUGUUCAGAAUGUGUUGUGGAUGCCUAGUGGCAUGAAGAUUAUUCCGGAGAUAGAUUUUUCUGGAAUUAUGAAUAGUCCUUAUGAAGUUUCUUUUCGGGAUGGGAUUUUUGACAAAGGUUGGGAAGGUUUUCUUUAUGAUCCUACUGUUGUUUAUUCCCCUUCUAUGGUAAGAGACUUUUACCUCAUGUUACCCUUUGUCGAUGCUCUUCCCUUUGAUGGUUUCCAAGUUCAUAUGCAUGGUUCCCUAGUGAUUUUUAAUGCUAUUGCCAUCUCUCUUGCCAUGGGUAAUCCUUUUGUCUUUUAGCCUGUCAUGCCUUAUCAUAAUUAUGUUCAUGAUAAUCGUGUUGAUAUCUUGGACAAUUAUCUUAAUCACUUUGGCCCUUGCACAUUUUCUUUCUAUCCCUAGGAUUACCCUAAUAUUGCACCUACUACUUGUCUUCCUGCUAAUGUUGCUAUUGUUGCUUUAUGGGUUAUGCGGAAUUUGUUGGGUGCUGAAAGGUUGGAUUAUGUCAAUGAUAGGACUAUGCAUGCAGUAUAUGGUAUUGUUAAGGAUUUUUAUGCUCUUGACUUAUCCACCUGGAUUUUAGAUGGUAUCCGGAAUGUGUUCCUAUUUGGUCAGGAUAAGCUUGUAUUCUCUACUGCUAUUUGUAAGAUUAUCCUUAAUAGCUAUCUUGAUUGGCGGGGAAGGUACAAUGAUUGGACUCACGUUAUAUCUAUGGAUCCAACUCAUCGAUAUAUUAAGAGAAGCCGCCUAUUCACUUGGGUACCUGACUCUGAGUAUGUUGAUUAUCCUAUCUUGCAUAGAGACGACGAGUUUAUGAAUGAUGGUGAGGGUCAUUGGGAUAUGAUAAAGGAUGCGUUAGUUGAUUGGCGUGAUAAGUUAGAUAGCCUUCCUAAGAGUCAAGUUUGGGAACUAGUUGUGUAAAGUAGGAUUUCCCUUUAUGUUGGGCCAGUCCUUUAUUUCUGCAUAUUUUAUUUCAGUUGUGUCUUAGUAUGGAAUUCCUUGUAAUCUGUAUAUAUGUGGAGAUAAUUUUGUUUGGCAGGAUUUUAUAAAGCGGUUUGAAUUUUUAGUACAUUCAUGGUAAUAUCUUUCUAUCUCUUUCCUAUGCUUAGUAUGAACCUUGAAGACAAGGCAAAUGUUUGUUUGGGGGUGGGGAAGUAUUACAAUCCUUUUUGCAAAGAUUUUCAAACUUCUUUUUCCAUAUUUGUGUAAAAAUUCAAAAAUUUUGAAAAACCAAAACAAUCUUUGUUACAAAGACUUUUCCAAAAGUUAGGAUAAGUACACCAUCAAUGAUGAAUAUAAUGGUUGAAUUUUAUCUUUUUCGAGUUUAAGGACAUUUAUUGCUUCACCAAGUAAUUGAGUCUUAUACUACAUUUCCAUGAGCAUAAGCAUGGCAUUCACUUGCAUUUAUGACAGAUUACAUGUGCAAAUACAACUACACCUUGAGAAACUUAAGGAAUAAGUGUGGAGACUUAAUCCAGUGAGCUUUUGAGACCCGUCUUUUUCUUGGAGAGAUAAUGAUCAAUCUGGAGUCAAAAGAGUCAACCUCUCAGUUUUGUCUAUUUUUAGUCCCUUAUUCAUUUUUAUAGUUAGCCUUGAGAUGACAUCAAGUGGGUGUAAUAUAAACUUGGGUUUUAUAGCUUAUUCAAGAUGUGAUCACCAUAUCAGUAUUUAGAAAUUAUACAAAGAUAUUAAGUUAAACCCUUUUACCUUAGCCUACCCCGAUGAUACUUUAUCCUUUAGGUUGACCGUUCUGAGCCUUUCUUGUUACUUAGCCUUUUUCCUGAGCCCAUUAUCCUUACCCCACUCCAUUGUGGGAAUAAUUACCCUUAGGAUGUGUAGGUCCUUUCACCCACUGUUUUUGGAACAUGAGGAUGAUUGUUUAUGUGGUUACAAUAAGAAGAAAGGAGAAAUACAAAGCAAUCUCCAAACUAGUGAGAUGAACCAAAUAUUGAAAACCAAAAAGUUUGAAGAAAUUCUUGAAAAAGCCAGAAUCUUCCAAAAACCAUUUCAAAUUCAAAAAGAAAGGAAGAUUCCAAAAUAUUGGCUAGAGCUUCAUUGAAAUUUUCCCCAAAGAAGAUGAGAAACACUUCUUUCCAAAAGAAAAUUUUCAAAAAUUUCUCCAUGUACAGUUAUUAUAAAUCACAAGUAUUGAAGACCCGAAUGUUCCAAAAAUGUUUCACAAAAGCCUUUUCCAUUUCUAAUCAUGUCCUAAGCCAAGUUACAACCUAUUACUGUCUUUUGUAAAUCUAAGCUGAUAUGGUAGGAUGUGGUGAAUAAGUGAGAAGGUGCUAAGGUGAAAAACCCGACAUCUCAAGCAAGGCUAAUUUUUUCAUUCUUUGAGACUAAGUUCAUUCCAUUACACCAGUUCGUUUUUAUUGAUAUAUGUGAGAUGUGUGUCCAUCUUCUUUUCUUACAUAGAGGUAAAAUGAUAAACACCAUCUCUAAGUGAUUCCUACUUUUUAGUGCAUGCCUGUGAGGUAGAAGUCAAAGCGACAUUUUCAAUGGUGACUUAAGACUCGUGGUAGUAUGGGUACAUGCCUGUCUUUGAUGCAUUUGGAAACGUUAUGCUUGGUUUAUAUUUUAUAUUUUAUUCAUGCAUUUGUAGUAUGUUAUCUCAUAUGAACGGUUUUGCAAUACUUAUCCUUAUCUUUGAUAUAACCAUUUCUGAGGGUAAAUGGUAGAACAUUCUGUUCUUUGGAUUAGUCAUUGUAGUAAGUUUGUGGGUAUCUUCUCUGAAAACCCGUCAGGAGACUAUAACUCCUCCACUUGGGAAAUCCCUGUGGUUGAAAGCCUUGAUGCAUAUGGUUAAUGCAAUCACUCUAGCUUUACUUCUCUUUUGAGUCCAUAAUUCUUUUCUUCUUACCUUUGUUUGAGGAUAAGCAAAGUGUUGUUUGAGGGUAUUUGAUAAGUCCUCAAAAGUGUAUAUUUAUCCCCCGAAUAACACAUUGUUUGUAUAACACUUAGCUUAUAUUAUUAUGUUAUAUCUAUUGAUUAGUGUUUUAUUUUCUAUUGUGUAGGUUUCAUGAGCCGAAAUGCGAAUAUUGUAUUAAAGCAAGCCAAAAGUCAAGAAAAACCACCAAAAAGGUGUUAUUUGCACAAGGGAAGGAGAAUCGAUAUUUGCACUCAUAGAUCUGUGAUGUAAGAUAUUUAACACACCUUACAAUCAAAAGAUAGAUUUAUAUUGAAUUUCCUUUUUGUGCCUGUAUAAAUUGGUUAUCAAAGUAGAUAAGUAACAAGCAAGGGUCGUAUCCACCUCAGAGGGGGAGAUCUUAGCUCGAACACAAUAGAAAACAAUUGUUAAGAAACACCAAGGGAAUCAAUAAUAAUUUGAGAUUGAUUCUAACUUCCUACAGACAAUAAUUAAAUAAACCCUAACUUAAGAAUAUGGUAGAGAUGAAAAGAAGAUCUAUGAUGACAAAGGGGGAAGAAUUCGUAUCCACAAACUAAAUCAUACAAACAUAAUAUGUUGUUCCUUCAUGUUCAAUCUAUAAUAAUUAAUUAGCCACCUCUCGGUUAUUCCAACUAAUCACUAAUACCUAUAAUAAUCAAGUAGUCACCUCUCAGCUAUUCUACUCAAUUAAAACGGGAUUCUCUUAUGCAUGCUAUUGAAUAUGUCUUAUUAAUCAAACCGUCACCUUUCAGCUAUUCAAUUUAAUUAACUCAACAUAUUAUUCAUAACUAAAUCAUCACCUCUCAACUAUUUGACUUAAUUACAAAAGGGUUCCAAUAAAAAAUAUCAACUUUAGAUAUGCAAUAAUCACUUCUCAGCUAUUUCACUACACAUCUUUAAUCAAUAUAAAUAAAACCAUUAAAGCUAGGCCUCCCUAAACCAUAACAAUAGUAUUUUAAUAACAUGGAUAACAAUAACAUGCAAAUAAUCAUACUUACCUCAUACUGCAGCUAGAAGUAAAUAAACAUUAAGUACUUUGAAUCACAAUGAACAUUAAGAACAAACAUGGUGCUUUUGCAUUAUCUAGAAUGCUUCAACCAUCCCCCUAUGGGAAUUUAGGUACUCAUCCUUGAUGAUGACACCAUGGAAUAAAUAAAUAAAUAACAAAACAUCAUAAUGGAAAAGUGAUUUGAUUUGAUUGAUAUGAAUUGAGUUUUAUACAAAAGAAGAAGAAGAUGAACUUGUCUCCUCAAUCUUCCAUUCAUAAAAAGCUACCUAAACCUUAGCUAUUACUUCUCUUAUAUAGAAAAUACAAAGUAGAAUACUUGCAUGCAAAGACUUUCAAAUUAGGUCAAAUUUGUGGCUGUUGAUGUUGGUCUUCUAGAGGCAUUAGGUCUUUAGCAAAACCUAAUUCUCUGGGCUUAAUUUGUAGCUUGGACCAAGACCUUCAGUUUGAUAGCUCAUGAGCCCAAAUCAGACUUCUGGAUCUCCUAAAUAGAAAUUCUGACUUGUGGGCUCCAAUAGGACCCGGUUUGGGUUGAGAAUUGGACCGCCCCACUUUGUCCUAAAGUCAAGUCAACAGAGCUGACCGUGGGGUGUCCUCAGCAGAUCUUGUGGGUGUAAAUAUCAAUUCUCUUUCCCAUGUGUAAUAACACAUUUUUGCUUGCUUUUCUUGACUUUUCGCGGGCUUUUACACAAUAUUCGCAUUUCGGCUCAUAAAAACUACACAAUAGACAAGAAAGCACUAAUCAAUAGAUAUAACACAAUAAUAUAAACCAAGUGCUAUACAAACAAGGUGUUAUUCGGGGGAUAAAUAUACACAUUUGAUGACUGAUCAAUCUGCUGAGGGCACCCCACGGCUGGUCCUGUUGACUUGACUUUAUGUCAAAUUGGGCAGUCCAAUUCUCAGCCCAAACCGGGUCCUAUUGAAGCCCACAAAUCAGAAUUUCUAUUCUAGGCCUUUAUUUAAAGUCCAAUCUUAAAAAGGUUCUACAAAAAAAUCCAGAAAUCUGAUUUGGGCCCAUGAGUUGUCCAAUUGAAGGUCUUGGUCUAAGCUACAACUAAAGCCCAAGAUAAUUAAGUUUUGCUGAAGACCUAACGCCUUUACAAGACCAACAGCAGCAGCCACGAAUUUGACCUAAUUUGGAAGUCUUUGUAUGCAAGUAUUAUGCUUUGUAUUGUCUAUGUAAGCUUUGUAUUGUCUAUGUAAGUGAAGUAGUAGCUAGGGUUUAUGAAGUUAAUACAGUUUAUGUUUAAGAAGUCAAUGUUUGUAUUGAACUCAAUUCUUAUCAAUAUCAAUCCAUUACUUUUCAUUAUGAUUUUUGUUAUUUAAUUAUUUAUUCCAUAGUGUCAUCAUCAAGGAUGGGUAGCUAAAUCUCCUUAGGGGGAUGGUUGAAGCACUCUAAAUGAUGCAAAAACACCAUGUUUGUUCUUAAUAUUCAUUGUGAUUCAAAGUUCUUAAUUCUUAUUUACUUUUAAUUCGCGAUAUGAAGUAAGUAUGAUUAUUUUCAUGUUAUUGUUAUCCAUGUUUUUAAAAUACUAUUGUUAGAGUAUAGGGAGACCUAGGUAUAAUGGUUGUAUUUAUAUUGACUGGAGAUAUGUGAUGGAAUAGUUGUAACACCCAUGAGUUGGUGUUAGUCCCACAUUGCCAAGAAAGUGGUUGUAUUGGUAGUAUAUAGAGCUUAACCAUACUCUAACUAAUGUCAAGGCCUUUUGGGGUGAACCACAUGGGUAGGCCCUGAUCCAAAACCCUCUACUGCUGGAUAUGCGCAGUGACUAAAGAGAGACAAUAUUGACAUUAGCGAGCGGUAUGGUGCUCGACGCACCGGGAUGAGCGAGGACGAAAUCCCGGGGCGUUACAGUUGGUAUCAAAGCCGACGACGGGUCGCCUGUUGCAGGUGGGAAAGUACGCUGGAAAGGCCCAGGGAGCGCCAGGUACUUGUCUCACUUGGCAGGGAACGUCGGAGAUUUUGGGACUGUACUGAGUAUACUGCAGAGCCGAGGACGGCUCUAUUUCUAAGGUGGUGAGAUUGUAACACCCAUGAGUUGGUGUUAGUCCCACAUUGCCAAGAAAGUGGUUGUAUUGGUAGUAUAUAGAGCUUAACCAUACUCUAACUAAUGUCAAGGCCUUUUGGGGUGAACCACAUGGGUGGGCCCUGAUCCAAAACCCUCUACUGCUGGAUAUCCGCAGUGACUAAAGAGGGACAAUAUUGACAUUAGCGAGCGGUAUGGUGCUCGACGCACCGGGAUGAGCGAGGACGAAAUCCUGGGGCGUUACAGUUGGUAUCAAAGCCGACGACGGGUCGCCUGUUGCAGGUGGGAAAGUACGCUGGAAAGGCGCAGGGAGCGCCAGGUACUUGUCUCACUUGGCAGGGAACGUCGGAGAUUUUGGGACUGUACUGAGUAUACUGCAGAGCCGAGGACGGCUCUAUUUCUAAGGUGGUGAGAUUGUAAGACCCAUGAGUUGGUGUUAGUCCCACAUUGCCAAGAAAGUGGUUGUAUUGGUAGUAUAUAGAGCUUAACCAUACUCUAACUAAUGUCAAGGCCUUUUGGGGUGAACCACAUGGGUGGGCCCUGAUCCAAAACCCUCUACUGCUGGAUAUCCGCAGUGACUAAAGAGGGACAAUAUUGACAUUAGCGAGCGGUAUGGUGCUCGACGCACCGAGAUGAGCGAGGACGAAAUCCCGGGGCGUUACAAUAGCUGAGAGGUGACUAUCAUAUAUCUACAGUUUAUAUCUUUUAUUGGAACCUUUUUGUAAUUAAAUUGGUAUCCGAGAGGUGAUGGAUUAUUUAUGAAAAUUAAUAUGUUGAAUUAAUUAGAUUGAAUAGCUGAGAGGUGACGGUUUGAUUAAUGAUACAUAUUCAAUAGCAUGCAUAAGAGAAUCUCGUUUAAUUGAGUGGAAUAGCUGAGAGGUGACUACUUGAUUAUUAUAGGUAUUGAUGAUUAAUUGGAAUAGUUGAGAGGUGACUAAUUAAUUGUUAUAGAUUGAACAUGAAAGAAUAACAUGUUAUGUUUGCAUGAUUUGGUUUGUGGAUACCAACUCUUCUCCCUAUGUCAUUAUAAGAUCUUCUUUUCAUCUCUACCAUCUUCUUUAGUUAGUUUAAUUAUAGUUUAUUAUUAUUGCAUGUAGGAAGUAGAAUCAAUCUCUAUCUUAUUUGUUGAUUCUUUGGUGUGUCUUAACCAUUGUUUUCUAUUGUGUUCGAGCCCUUUGAGGUGGGUACGACCCUUGUUUGUUACUUGUCUACUUUGAUAAUCAAUAUAUAAUAAGGCACAAGAAUGAACUUCAUUAUAAAUCAUAUUUUUUGAUAGUAGAUACACUUUUGUCAUCUAUCAAUGACCCAAACCCGACCUAUGUCCAGCCCUACAAACAGUCACUAGACUGAUCCAAGACUGAAAUUACAGAAAUAAUCUUAGCAGAAAAAUAUUUAAAUUACCCAAAAUACCCAUAUCUUUACUAAUUGUAAAGUGGCAUGCAGUUAUCUACAUUGAAAGCGGUCUGUAGUUAUCUACAGUGAAAGCCCAAUCAAUAUCCAAUAGAAUAUGGACACGUACCGUACCUUUGGUUUGACUCCAAAAAUUCAGAAUUUCUGUUUUCCAAAUUCAUACCAAAAAAAAAAAAAACCAUUAAUAUGUCAGUUACCAUGUGUAUUAUAGAACUACCUAAUCCAUCGCUUCAAAUUCUAUCAUCUGCACCCACUCACUUUUCUUAUAUAACCCUAGCUACUUGCACACAUAUACGUGCACGUUUACAUAGUCUUCGUAAAAUUACACAAGUCAUUAUAAUACCCAUAUUACAAAGAUAUUAUGUUUCUUUUAUAAAAAUAUUAAAUUUAAAAUGUUGCAAUGUAAGAGCAAGCGCAUACAUCUCUACUACUUUGUAAACGCGCCCCCACUUCAAGGUGGUUUGCGUGACCUUAGUUGGCAGCCUAUUAUAUAAACACGUGUAUUUUUAUUACCAAAUUCCAACUUUAUCUUUAACAAAGAAAAAAAAAAUACUUUAAGAUAAUUUUUAAAGUGGGUCCACCUGACUUUUUAACAAGCAAAAAUACUUAAUUACGUAGGGUCUAUUAAAAUAUUAAAACUAAAAUAAUUUAAUUAAUUAUUUGUGGGACCGCUACAUUUUAACUAACUUAAUAUUUAUGUUUAUCUUUUUUAAUAACUCAGGAGGAGAGGUUUUUUCCUGAUGCCAAACUUUUACCAAAAACAUCCAUUUCCCUUUCACUAAAAUCAAAUAUAUCUUCUCUAAUAUAAAAGGGUUAUUAAGUAAUUUCAAUAUAAAUAAUUAAACUAUCAAGUAGUUACCUACAAAUUAAGAAACUAAUAUUCCUUUUACCAAAAAACAAGGAAACUAAAUAUGAUACAUGUCUAACAGACGUGCAUUCACUUAGUGGACCUUAAUUUGGCAUAUAUACAAUUUGAAUCUUAAUUUUUGGUUGGGCUGUCUUUAACGUUUUGGGUUGGACUUAACGAAUGAUAAACAAACUUGGGAAAAUUGGCGAUAACCCCCCACAUUAUGGUCACUCUUGGCAAAAACCCCUUAAUUCUGCCAUUUUUGGCGUAAACCCCUCAACCCCCAAAACUAUACCAUGUAUUACCCAGUUUACCCCUGACUUAAAUUAUUUGUCUAAACCCCCAAAUUUGAAUUGACAAAGUUAACAAACUCCGAGUAACUCCGUUAACCGAACAUGUAGUUUUUUUUUGAAAAAAAUCAGUUCAUGAACUAAUCAACGUUGCUCUCCACCCAAUUUGCAAGAAAUGUGAGCAAUCUGCACUACCAAUGUUUUCUAUUCCUCAUCACCCCCAACAACAUCAUCAUCUUUUUCACCCUUUCUCUUCACCUUUAUUUCCAAAACACCCUUAAUCCCUAAACUUUUCUUUUCUUCCCCACCACCACCAAACAUUCUAAACCCACCAUAUCUUCUUUUCUCCAUCACCAUUCACCAACACACAUCACAAUGACUAGCAAAUUAAACAACAAUGAGCAACACACAUCACCAAGGAGCAACAAAUUAAACACAUCACCAACACACAUCUCUUCUUUCUCUUCUUAUUGGUUUCUUCUCUUCACCAAACAAAAGCCAACAAAUUAAACAACAACGAGCAGCAAAUUCACCCCACUACUCUUCUCUUUCUUCGUCUAUCUCAACAACAACAACAACAACAAUAAUAUUCACCCCACAAUUUUCAGGCUCAAUUUACUUACAAUCUUAUCCAAAUUCUUCAUCUCCACUUGUUAGGUGUAUUUAUCUUCGAUUUGUUUAUAAAGAUUAGAAUUUUGUUGUCAAUUUUGACAAUUCCAAAUAAGGCUAUCACUAUUUAGUGUAAGAUUAAGAAAAAGAAGAAGAAACACAUUAAGAAUUUGGGGGUUUUCAAAUUGAUUUUCUAUGUGAAAGGCAAAUAUAAAUAUAGAUUCUGUUAAUUGUAGUCAACUUCUGUUAAGUUAUAUUUGGGGGUUUAGACAAAUAAUUUAAACCAGGGGUAAACUGGGUAAUACAUGGUAUAGUUUUGGGGGUUGGGGGGUUUACGCCAAAAAUAGCAGAAUUAAGAGGUUUUUGCCAAAAGUGACCAUAAUGUGGGAGGUUAUCGCCAAUUUUCCCAACAAACUUAAAGUCUUAAACCAUUCUCUCUGACUCGUUGUAGUGUAGUCUGUACCAAUCUUAUAUUCACGUCUAAAGGACGUGCAUUUCACAUAGUGAAAAUAGUUUCUAUGUCCUCGUUAUCAGUAAAUACCUUGCCGAUGUCGAAGGAGGCAUGCUUCAUGCCGGUAUGCACUCAUAUUUAUGAUGUCAAAAAUUCUACUGUAUCACAUUCCAGAAACUUCUAUGGAUAGAAUUUCAUUUAUCAUACACUCAAAAUACAGGUAGAGGGUCCUUAUAUUACCCCAAAGUUCCUAACUUACUUGCCAAAAAAAACAGAAAAUAAUGUAAAAAUUAAUCCAAUGGUACCAUUCUCUCCUUAAAUACUGUAUUAUUAAUUUAUUAUUACAACAAAAUGCAUCUAGACAAAAAUUAAAUUUUGGACACGUGUACGGUGAAAAGAAGACACUCUCUCUCUUCACCUGCUCUAUAAAUAAAAGUCAUGGACUCUACCUAUACACUCGUACCAAAGAUUUUAAUCUUAUCUUCUUCUUCUUUGUUAUCAACACUUUUUCUUCUUCAAUCAUUUAGAGGGGAAAAAAUGUCUUGCUCCAAUGGAAACUGUAGUUGUGGUUCUGACUGCAAGUGUGGCAGUGGAUGCGGGUAAAUUUUUCUCUUGUCUUCUUGCAGAUUCUGUCCUUUUUUUAUAAUCUUUUAGACCAAAAUCAUGUAAACCUUAACAUUUCUGGAUAAUGAUCCCAAGUAAAAAAGUGUGUAAACUAAUUUAAACACCUUUUUGGAUUCACAAUCAUGGAUGUCUUUCCCAACAAAAAAACUAUUUUUUGAUGGUGUUUUUACAUAUAAAAAUCAAAUCAGGUCUAAUUUUGAUAGGGAUUUGCUCCCUUUUUGGUUGAUGUGGUAUAUAUGAUUGUUUGUAGGUUGUAUUGUUUUGUUUUGCUCUAAUUUGAUGUGGUUGAUUGUAGAUGCAACAAGUACCCAGACUUGGCUGAGGGUACCACAACAUCUCAGACUUUUAUCCUUGGUGUUGCUCCAGCAGGAAAGGCGUAUGUCCCCACCUAUCACUAAGCCAUCUUUCAAAUUUAACAACAAAUAUAUCAAUAUUUAUUUAUUUAUUUAUUUUUCUUUUUGUUGUUUAUGAAAUUGCAGAUUCUUUGAGGGAUCUGAGAUGGGAGUAGGAGCUGAAGGUGGAUGCAAGUGUGGAUCCAACUGUACCUGUGACCCUUGCAACUGUUAAUGAAGUAGAGAUGUGAUGUGAUCUCAGC